UGGAAUACACCUUGGUACUCAAAAGAGAAACAAUAUUAAAAUACUGAGAAUAACAGAGUCUAAAAUAGUUUAUGUACUAUUAACAGAUCAAUGUGCAAAACCCACUAAUAACAGGGUAUUGGUACACAAUCGAACUGGACCACUCUUCGGUCUGUUUUGCAAAUUCAUGCAACAACAAGGACCUUAUUGCACAAUAUCGAAGGGAUAAGGUUCCUUAUCCACUUGUUCUCCUGUGCGGUUACUGCAACUUUCGUUCCCCUCGGGCUCGCCGGCCACGGGCGGCAGGGCAGAGAGUAGCGCAGAGGCCUGGCACAGGGCACAGGUCAGGCGGCACAGAGGCCGUGGGCUGGGGCGCGGCGCGCGGCCAGGGGCGGCCACGACCCGGGCGGGCGCGGCCAGGGGUGGCCACGACAUGGUGCAGCGGCGGGCGUUGUCGACAUAGAUGGAGCCGGUGCGCGGGGGAUCCGGCGGCGGGCGUGGAUGGGCGGUGAGCUGUGCGCCGCGUGCCAUCCCGCAUGGAGCCGGGACGAGAUUGGACGGUGCGUGUCGUCGUUCACCCCGACGGGGCCAAGGCGAGAGUCAUCGCUGACUGUUCCUAAGGAAGGGUGACCAUAAUUAAGGAUUAGCAACUGGCUGCCGCCACCCGUUUCUUUGCUGAGGCAGAAAGCGGAAGGCCAUGUCUGCACCGGAGUUCGCAUCCGCGCGCGUGCAUUAUAUUAAUGAGGAUGACGAAGGUACUAUCCUCCGAGACCGAGCCUUUUCUUCUUCUGUUCUUUUUGUUUGUAGUUCAUGAUUGAUCGAUUCUUCUUGAGAUUCGCGUGAGAAUACAUACAGGAAAGAAAACCAUUCAUUGUUAGAUUAUUAAUUGAAUGCAAGAAGACAUCAAAUUGGCAAUCAUUCUACUGAUUAGUUUCUUUCCUUUUGUACGAGGAACACUUCGUCUUCGGUGAAUCGCAUGGUGGCCGAAACUCCAGCAACCAACUUCUGCCGCCAUCUUCGGGGGCAAUUGCAGAUCGCCGGAGUGGCAUCCGGUAGACGCUAGCGUGGCUGAUAACGUGUAAAGAGUGAAAGAAGAGAGGAAGAGCAAAUGAUGAAAAUCACUGUUUCAUUGAUUGAAGAUGUGAGUAUAUAUACCCAGUACAAAGGCGGUUACAAGGAGCAGUUGCUAAACUAAAGCAACCAACAUAGCAGGGAUUAUCCCUUAAUUAAUGUAUUUAAUUAAUUCCUAACGGAGUGUUUCAGAGGGGGCAGUUCGGCUUACCUGAGUGUACGCCAUUAAUUUGUAUCAACCCGAGUGCCAUGUCGCCGGGUUGACAGCAUACACGUAUGUAAGCUGAGUCCUGCUGGUUCGUCGUGUGCCCUGUGCUUCUUACUCGGCAUAGGUUCACACAAGCUGAGUACCCAUGGUUCAGCACUUGGCUUAAUCAAGGUUCAAAUAACAUGCUCAACAUCCAGGGGCAUUUUAGUAGAUUUUCACCACCAGCUACGGACUCAUGAGGGGUACUAAAAACAGCUGCCAAACAAGUUUGUUUUUGAGGUAAUAACACCAAUGGUGCCCAAACUUAUCAUGGAUGUUCAUUUUGAUGUCUGAACUUGAAAAAUACACGAAUUGGUUUCAAAACAUGACAAUAUGGUUCAAAUACAGUUCAAAUCAUGUCUAGAUACAUAUGUAUUGCUGACUAGACAUGCCAGCUUGGCGCAGGGCCCACUUGCAGUUCCGGAUAGACUGACACAAAGAGUAUGUCUCAUUGAUCAUCGGGUCCCACCUGUUAGUACACAACUAUAAUAAACAAAAAAUGAUUAGGCUAGGAUUCGAACCAGUGGACUGUGCUACACGAACGACCUGCGUAACCACUUCCAAAAGGUAAAAUUGUUGUCUAUUCAUCAUCACUAGCAUAAUUUAUCUACCUCACAAGACCGUGAAAUUAAAUGGGGUGAAGUUAGUGCAGCCCAUUUUACACUGUUAGUUGUUUUUUUAUUUUAGAAAUUACAAGAUAUACAGGUAGUAUAUAAAGUGUUUAUGCUUUUAGGAAAUGUAUUUCUAGUUGUAAAAAUGUCCAUGUAUUUUAAUAAAGUAAAUGUGUUUGUCAAAAUAUAUAUAUUUGAAUGAAAAUAAAUUUUAAAAUAUGUGUAAAAAAAUAUAUAACAGCCUAGUGUGCCCCAAGGAUUUUAUACAUUCUUAUAUUUAAAUUAACACAUUUUAAAAUAUGCAUACAUUUUUCUAGUUAAAAAAUAUUUAAGACAAUAAGAUUCUAGAUUUAUCUUGAUUACUAUUACAAUAUUUUACAUAUGUUCUAAAAUUUCUAAAAACGAAAAAAGUUCACAUGUGGAAGGGUCACAUAAAAAGGAAAAAACUAAAAAUCCAAAUAGAGAGCACGUGGAUAUAUUUUUAAAGAUGAAGAUUUUGAAAAUUAGAUGAACAUUUCAAAAUGUAUGAACUUUUGGAAAUUGUAAAACUAUUUUAUUAUAUAUCAAAAUCCUUCUAAAAAUUCCGACAACGUUUUAUUAAUUUUUUAUUAUUUUUUAAAUUCAUUAUUUUUUAAAUUAAAUUUAAUGUUAUCUUAAUAUUGUAAUUAUAGUUUGAAUACUUUUGUAAUUUUUAAAGAAAAAAAACAACUAACAUGUGGAAAAUGGGUGACACUCAUUGCACCAUAUUUAACUUCACGGUGGAGUUAGUUAAAUAAACAGGAGCGGUAUGUAGUAUACAACAAAAUUACCUUGGUUAUGUGGUUAGGGCGGGUCAUUGAUAGCAUACAUGUCAUUUGUUCGAGUACCAAGAUAUCUUUAUUUUUAAUUAAUUUCAGUUGUUCACUCACAGGUGAGACCUAAUGGUCAUUUAGUCGUACAAUUUUGAUGUUUGUUUGUUCGUCACUAUAAAUGGCCCCGCGUCAUGCUGGCAUGCCUAGUUAACAGUACAUACGUAUCUGGACGUGAUUUGAACCGUAUUCGAACCAUACAACCAAAUUAUAAAACCAGGUUGAUGUAUUUUUUAAGUUCAGACACCAAAGUGAUCGUCGAUGGCAAGUUUAGGCGCUACUAGUGUUGUUACCUCUUUGUUUUUUGUCUUCAUCUUCUACUAGCUGGCAUUGCUUUUGAUUCAGUCGCAACCCAAACAAACAGAGUCUAUAAGCAACUUUUACAAGUAGAAGAAACAGACAACUCAGUAGGAGAAGAAGAACGGUUACUCAGAGUGCGCGCGGUGGAGCACCCGGAGCGCACCGGUUGGCGUCCUUGAGAGAGAGGACAGCUCUUAGGAUGGGAAUGAGCAAGCCGAAGGCGGACCCGGAGGUGAGGAGGUACGUGAGGUUGUUAUAGACGAACUUGUGCAGGGUGAUCCUCACCGUCCGGUCCUGCUGGUAAUCGCUGAGCCGCUGCAGGACGCGAUCAUACUGUCCUCCCUUCCGGAGGUACGGGCAGACGGACUUGAAGAAGUCGAGCGUCUCCUGGUCGCUGAACACCGGGUACAGUAUGCGCUUGGCGCGCAGCUGCCGGACGUCAUCCUCGCGGUUCAUCAGCUGCGGAGGAACUCGGGGACCAUCUGGAUGCUCGGCUUGCCUCCGCUGAUGAAGCUGCGGUCUACUAGUUUCCUAUGUGGACCAGUGGUAGAUUGGAUGCUAUGCAGUACGCUAUCCAAUCCAGUGUCGUUGUGGGGAUCCAUCUCCCUCGCUCCUUACAAAGAUUUCACUCGUCUCUUCGCUCACCGCACUAGUGGCCUCUUCUUAAGGCCACUUUCAAUUGCUAAGAUGAGCUACUAAGCACAUUAAAUAGUUUAGCAACUAAAGUCUGCAAUGUAUAGUUGCUUUGCUUAUUAUAGCUAAGCCUCCUUAUUUAAUGCUUUUUCAACUAAAGUUAUGAAUGCAUUGGUGCAUUUCAUUCAUUUAAUUAUUUUAACUAGGUUCACGCGCUUACCAUUUGUUUCUUCCUGAAGUCACCAUACUCAUCUCUCUUCUAUUAAUUAGCUUGCCACAUCAGGUUUUUUACCUAUGUGGCAGUCUUAGCACCUGUAUAAGAUGGAGCAUUGGGAGUAGCCUAAGUCUGGUUGUAAUGGGUAGUAUUAUAUACUAGUAUAUAAUAUAAUAUGUUAGUACUCCCUUCGUUUCUAAAUAUAAGUCUUUAAAGAGGUUUCACUAGUGGACCACAUACAGAUGUAUAUAGACAUACUUUAGAGUGUAGAUUCAUUCAUUUUGCUCCGUAUGUAGACCCUUAAUGAAAUCUCUUAAAAGACUUAUAUUUAGAAACGGAGGGAGUAUCAUAGAAUAGUUCAUUUAUUGUCAUGCAAGACACAUAAUAACACAUCAUUUAAUAUGAUACGUUAUCAUGAUAUGAUACUCAACCCUCUUUUUCUUUAUUUAAUAAUAUGACAUCUUAUCGAAAUUGCCUAGUUAACAUAUAUAAUACUAUCUAUGAUACUCCCAUUACGGGCAGCCUAAGACUAAGACGGCCAUCACGAAAGUGUUUGCUGGCUGCCAUGGCGCGUCCAUGGUCAACCGGCAAACUAAUUAAGUAUAUCAAUAUAUUUUCACAGCAAUCAAAGCGUCCAAAUCGAAAAUGAAUCUGACCCUCGAGAUCCAUGCUUGUAUUUACAUAUGUGCUUAGGAGUAUUUUGUAUUCCUGCUAUUUGAUCAUGAUAACGUUGGCAACAUUCAAUGAAGCUACACCACUGGUAGUGGGUAAGAUUCCCAUUUAAUGGCCCAACGGUCGUCAGCCAAAAUCAAAUCAAAGUAAUUAGUUGUCUAGUUCUUUCCAUUAGUGGACCGUUGCAAACAAAUAGUCAGUCUAAUCCCGGCUACAUCCUACCGUUGAGAGUUUACAUCAGAUCUCGAGCAUCUUUACCCGGACCCCAAACCCCCAUAUAUCUACACAGAUGUGUAAAUCACAUAUAAAUAUGCCAUAAGUAUUACACAUCUAAAUUCUAUGUCUUUUAUCUUAUGCGAAGAUAUGUGUGAGUGUAUUUUUUUUCUUUUUAUAUUUCUUGUUAUGCUUGAUUGAGUCCUUAGAUGUACAAUAACUAGCGUACAUCAAAAUGUGUCCUACACACACCCCAUAUCUAUACCUACUACUCCAUUUGUUCCUAAAUAUAAGGAAACAAAAAUAUGAAAAAAAUGUACAACUAAACAAGUGUGCGAUCCGUCUGUGUGUGUAAAAUUUCAGACCAAAAUACUUUAAGACGCAACCUGUGCAAAAAAUACAAAUUCAUGGUCUGAAAAGAUGAAUAGUGGCUAUUAGAUUUUGCUUUGCUCUUCUUCAUGAAAUGCAGGGAUUCAUAGGCACUAAUAAUUUUGUAUGUUAUCAGCCUCCCUGAAACAAAAGCAGAUUGUUUUUCUGAAAUAAUCUUUAGUAGAAUAAGCUUCAGUCUAUUCGCCACAACAUUUGAAGCAAUCUUGUACAAGACAUUACAAAGAUUGAUUGGCCUAAACUGAGAGAGCAAGGUUGGGUUCAAUACCUUAGGAAUAAGCAUAAAAAAGGUGUCGUUGAUACACUUGGCAUUGACAUCUCCCUUGAUAAUCUGCAACACAGAAUUGGUGAUUUCUUCCCCCACACACGUCCCAGUGCCGCUGAUAAAAGUGCGUAGGAAAGCCAUCUGGGCGAGGAGAUUUUGUAGGAAACAUAUGAAACAAAGGCACUUUGACUUCUUCUCUUGAAUAUGGAGCACAAAGCAAAUCAUUCAUAUCACGAGUGACUUUCCUUGGUACAUGUUGCAGUAUCGCCUCCAUAUUUGUUACCCCCUCCGAUGUAUACAGGUUUUUGUAGAAAUCUAAGACCAUAAUCUUCGAAGAGGUCGGGUCAUCCACCGUCAAACCCAGAGAGUUGGAUAGUGAUUUAAUCAAUUUUUUCUUCCGUCUAAUACUUGCCCACAUAUGGAAGAACUUAGUGUUUUUAUCUCGCGCUCACAACCAGUCAAUUAUUCAGCGUUGGCGCCAGAGGAUCUCCUCCCGAUGAUACAACUCCACCAGUCUCUCAUGAAUUUUCUGUUCAGGAUGGUUUGGACCUGACCGCAAUGGGUCAGCUCCCAACCUCGUCAGCUGAGAUUUCAGGUAUUUCAUUUCUCCUUUAACAGACCCGAAGGUAGUUUUGACCCAGCGUUGGAGUGUUUGGGCCAGAGCCUGAAGCUUCUCCUUAGUCUCUUCCAGACGCAGGCUUGGUUGAUCAGCAGCCCAUGCCUCCUUCACCUUGGCCAUUAGAUUUUUGUGAGACUCCCAAGCCACUUCAUAACGGAAAAUUUUGCUAGAAGAUCUUCUUAGAUUUGCAUCUCCGUCCAUCUCAAGGAGAAGGGGAGAGUGGACAGACGUAGCCGCCUCCAAAUGUUUCACAGCUGCAUUAGGGAAGCGGGUCAUCCACUCCACUGUUGCAAGCGCUCGAUCAAGUCGCACCCUAGUAUAGGAUCAUCCCGCAACUUUCUUCUCAAAGGUCCAAAACCUCCGUGAAAAACCCAGGUCCAUCAGCAAGCACACAUCAACUGCCUCCCUAAAGAAUGGAAUCUGAGCAUUGCUUCGUUGUCCAACAUCAUCGUGUUCUUCUGGGCUGAGAACUUCAUUAAAAUCNNNNNNNNNNNNNNNNNNNNNNNNNNNNNNNNNNNNNNNNNNNNNNNNNNNNNNNNNNNNNNNNNNNNNNNNNNNNNNNNNNNNNNNNNNNNNNNNNNNNNNNNNNNNNNNNNNNNNNNNNNNNNNNNNNNNNNNNNNNNNNNNNNNNNNNNNNNNNNNNNNNNNNNNNNNNNNNNNNNNNNNNNNNNNNNNNNNNNNNNNNNNNNNNNNNNNNNNNNNNNNNNNNNNNNNNNNNNNNNNNNNNNNNNNNNNNNNNNNNNNNNNNNNNNNNNNNNNNNNNNNNNNNNNNNNNNNNNNNNNNNNNNNNNNNNNNNNNNNNNNNNNNNNNNNNNNNNNNNNNNNNNNNNNNNNNNNNNNNACAGUGUUGGAAAUAUGCCCUAGAGGCAAUAAUAAAAUGGUUAUUAUCAUAUUUCCUUGUUCAUGAUAAUCGUCUAUUGUUCAUGCUAUAAUUGUAUUAACAGAAAACAGUAAUACAUGUGUGAAUAAAUAGAUCACAAUGUGUCCCUAGCAAGCCUCUAGUUGGCUAACUCGUUGAUCAAAAGAUGAUCAUGGUUUCCUAAUCAUGGGCAUUGGAUGUCAUUGAUAACGGGAUCACAUCAUUGGGAGAAUGAUGUGAUGGACAAGACCCAAUCCUAAGCGUAGCACUAGAUCGUGUUGUUCGUAUGCUAAAGCUUUUCUAAUGUCAAGUGUCUUUUCCUUCGACCGUGAGAUUGUGCAACUCCCGGAUACCGUAGGAGUGCUUUGGGUGUAUCAAACGUCACAACGUAACUGGGUGACUAUAAAGGUGCACUACGGGUACCUCUGAAAGUGUUUGUUGGGUUGGUACGAAUCGAGAUCGGGAUUUGUCACUCCGCGUAUCUCUGAGCCCACUCGGUAGAACAUCAUCAUGAGCUCAAUGUGACUAAGGAGUUAGUCACACGAUGACGUACUACGGAACGAGUAAAGAGACUUACCGGUAACGAGAUUGAACAAGGUAUAGGUAUACCGACGAUCGAAUCUCGGGCAAGUUCUAUACCGACAGAUAAAGGGGAUUGUAUACGGGAUGGAUUGAAUCCUUGACAUCGUGGUUCAUCCGAUGAGAUCAUCAUGGAGCAAGUGGGAGCCACCAUGGGUAUCCAGACCCCGCUGAUGGUUAUUGGCUGGAGAGGUGUCUCGGUCAUGUAUGCCUGUCUCCCAAACCCAUAGGGUCUACACACUUAAGGUUUGAUAACGCUAGGGUUAUAGGGAAUUGUUAUACGAGGUUACCGAAAGUUGUUUGGGGUCCCGGAUGAGAUCCCGGACGUCACGAAGAGCUACGGAAUGGUCCGGAGCUAAAGAUUGAUAUAUAGGACGGAUGGUUUUGGACACCGAAAGUGUUUCGGGCGUCACCGGUAACGUACCGGGACCACCGGAAGUGGCCCCGGGGGUCCACCGGUAGGGGGCCACGACCCCGGGAGGCUAGAUGGGCCAAGUGCGGGAGGGAACCAGCCCCUAGGUGGGCUGGUGCGCCCCCCACACUCAGCCCAAGGCGCAGGAGGUGGAGAGGGGGGAUAGCCAUUUUUCUGUUUGGUUGAUGAGUGAGGUUAUUCCAUAUUUUGUUCGAUUUUGCCGCCGCUGUCGUCAUCAUGGAAGAGAGCGGAGAUGGAAGGGGGAAGCGAUAGGAUUGGGGAAGAAAUGAACAAGAAAACAGGGUCGCAGAAAAAGUUUCGUGCUUGCCUUCGUGUGUGGCACGCGCCGGAUACCCAAGUCCGUGAGAUUCUCGUGGACGGGCGAAUCCUCAUUUUUGAAGGAAUAUUCCUAGCAUCUGGCUAACCUUAUCCCUUCUCGUCCACAAACCAAACAACUGUCAACCACAUAAAAAUGGCUAUCCCUGUCCCAAUGUUGGAUAGCCGAGCAACCAAACGCACUCCCAUGAUACCAUUUAAAAAAAUCGAUUUUAAAUGUUCCAAAACAUUUCAAAAAAAUUAUGGAUGUUCACACCACACGAGUGUGCAAUCCCUUCAAAUUUCAAACCAAAAUUCAAAAUAAACAUUGAGAAACAGACAUGAAAAUUUUGCAGAAAACGCUCUGAACAUUUCUGAAAUGAUGCCUUGGUACACAUCGUAUGAUACUGCCUACUGGAUCACCAUACAACAACCGAGCUGAGACCACACUAUGGUGUGAAGGCCACGAAAGCAGCCCAACCCUUCCUGGCUGAGCGAAAUAAAGGAAAAUACAUACUGCCAAUUGAGCUUCCAAUGUUACUCAGCACAUAGGACGCUCCUCACACAAGUGUCUUGUGGCACGAAUAGCUUUCUGAAUAGUAACAAGCAUCAACAAAAGAGACAUCAGAUUUUUACGUUGAAAACCCCUCAACUUGAGGGAAAAAACCAUGGGAGCCACCCAAAUCCUCUCUCAUUAUUAUUAAAUAUGGGAUACAACAAGUUUUUUCUCUAGAUAGCACUAGAGGAUCUCAUACAUCAAGAUUUCUAAAUCUUAGAUGAACAAAACAAGAUUUGUGGCUCAGGAUCUAGGGAUUGAAAUAAUCUCACCAAAGAUGGUGAAACCGCGGCUUGAAGGAGACAGGAUAGUGGGUCUGGAUCAUCACAACCUUGGGGAGGAGCUCCCUUUGCUUCUUCCUUCGAUCUUUCUCUUCUUUCCUUUCUCACUUGUUUUUCCCUCUUCUUCUUCAAUGGAGGCUGAACUGAUUUUCGUCCCACUAGAUGCUGGCUGCUAGAUGGAGGGCAAAGCAUCCCCAUUCACUCACAUGCAAAGACCAAAAUGAUCCUAGGUCAUAACCCUAAUGGUUAGUGGGCUUCUGCGCCUCGUUUUGGAUGCCUAAAAGCCCUUAAAUGGUCAUUUCCUCACAACCCACAUGGGAAGGAUAUCCCAACAAAUCUUCCCCUCCGACUCAUGAGGGGGGCACCGCCAUGCCCGCUACCUUUUAACAUGUGUGUAGCUUCUCAUUUGGCAAUAUCUUGGUCAUCAUAUCCAAACCAUUGUCGUCGGUAUGGAUCUUCUCAAGUUUCAACAACUUGGAACUUACAACAUCACUAGUAGAAAAUAGGUCUUUCGUUUGACCCUUUAGUCCCGAUUUGGUUUUGAACCGGGACUAAUGUCCAGCGGCUAGGAGCGGUCGGGGGGCACGUGCACCAUUAGUCCCGGUUAAAUUUGGGCUAUCUUGUGCCGAACGUCAGCUUUGGCUUGAGUCCGGUAUGAUUCCCAGUCUCAGGCGUAGUAGGAUACCCGAGGUGGCUCUCCAUCCCAUCUAGUGGGAGAGUACCUUAUGGACCCGUAAAUGGACCUGUUGCGACCUUUCUUUCUAUACAGGUUGUAUCGCAGGUCGUGUCCGCCCCGAGGGUGCACUUUUUUCCUUCCCCUUUCCGUCGGGAGGCCCGGGAUAGUAUUCGGCAUCCGCCGCCACCCUGUUGCGCCCUCGGGGAGGGCGGUCAGGUUGGUCGUAAUCUGUGCGCUUGGGCGAUUCAGGCUUCGGGGCCUCGUCAUCGAAUUGUGGCAGCAGUCGGCGACUUGGGUAAGUUUUCUUCUGAUCCGGCCAUCCAGAGUUGUAUUCUUCUGCGAUGGCCAGUACCUUGGUCCACCUACUGUUUAUAGUGUCUUGUUCGGCCUGGAGUUGUCGUUCCUUCGCUUUUAAGCUUAGAGCAGUAGCUAGGAGUAGGUGCCAAAACUCUUCCUAACCUCCAAGGUCAUCGGGAACUGCGAAGUCUUCAUCCUCCGGGUAGUCGUCGAUGGGGGGGAAGUAAUCAACAUUAUCCGACUUGCUGAUGUCGUCGGGGUCGUCCAACUCCACGGGCUUAUCCGCAUCCUCUUGUGGAUGUUCUCGAAUUGCGAGCUUACCGUGGUCCUCUGGGGUUUAUUUUCCCAGUGCCUUGCGCAGAUAUUCUUCCCUUGUUCCUCCCCGGUGCUUUGAUUGGUCCUGCCCGGAUUUGUCAUCAUUUGGCUAGGGGGAGGUCGCCGUUGUUACCGGGCAUGUCUACCAUGUAGACGUCAUAAGUAGAAGUUUCGGCCCAUCGCCCUAUAUUUGUGGUAGUGGGUUCAUCGGCUUCGUCGUCCAUGCACCCAAGCUCCUCGGGGCCGUAGUCUAGCGUGUCGGUUAAAUCUUCGACGGUAGCUACCAAGUGGGUGGUGGGUGGGCCGUAAAAGUCCCCAUAUUCCAACUCAAAGUCGUACUGCGAGCGGGUCGGCAUGGUUGAGAUGUGCAACGAUUGGAUCUGGCCGAGCAUCUCGUUUAACAUUGAUGCUCAUCCCGGUGCAUCAUUGGACGGUUUUCUGAGUUAACCUCCGGGGUCUCCGUGAGGGACGAGUGUUCGAUAAAAGUCGUUUGCUGUGAUCCAGGCGUCAGAGUCGGGUCUGAUCUAGGGGCCGACUCUUCGGAAGAGAGGCAUCGGAGGACAUGGCCGGAUGCGGGACCCGAAGUUAAAGCUUCAGUGUUUUUGAUCUCAUCGGCCGAAGCCGGGAUUCUUGCAGGGACCAGAUCGGUUCGUGGAUGGGUUGGGAAUUCAAAACGCCCUAACCUUGUUUGCUGAUCGGGGAUGAAACCUCCGAUGGGUUGGGUCUGAGCGAAGCGUAAUGCUGCCAAACGAGGAACCUGCCUGGGGACAAAGAUGUCUCUGUUGCUGAUUCUGUCACUGACGAUUAGGCGAGCCAUCGAUCUUCUCAGCGAUCCAAGAGUGGAACUCUCAAUGAAAGCACCAAUGUCGGUGUCAAAACCGGCAGAUCUCGGGUAGGGGGUCCCGAACUAUGGACCUUGGAUCGAUGGGUUCUAGGAAGAAAGGGGAGACAACAGUUUACCCAGGUUCGGGCCCUCCUAUGGAGGUAAUACCCUACGUCCUCUUUGAUUUUAUUGAUGAAGAUGAUUACAUGAUAUAUCUACCUCGAGAUCGUAUAUGCUAAACCAUAGAUGAUUAAGCCUCCUCUACACGGAGAGGGGGCUCUCGUUUAUAUAGUCACCAGGGACCCUAGGGUUUACAAGUUACCGACUAUAAUCAGUGGUGGGUGAGCCGACCUAGUCCUUCUAAGCUUGAAGUACAUGCCAAUCUUCGGAACAUUCCUUUCAGAGUAGAGGUCAUCAUAUGGCCCGAUCUUCAAUAGCAUGGCCCAAUGGGUCAGCCCGGCAUAGACUAAUCGACCGUCCGAGGACCCCAGAAUCCCGGACACCCUCAAUGAUCCGCACAAAAAUGAUAAAUUCAUGGCUUGGAACGAUGAAUAGUAUCAUAUGUUAAAAAGCUUCAGACUUGUAUUUUUUAUACAACCCUCGUUUUAAUGUAUUUUUUCUGAAAAUUUACACACAUAUGUGUUACGCCCUCACUUAUCUUUGUAUUUUUUUCAGAAUUUUUUAAAUGUAAAAAAUAUGAAUUUUCAUGAAAUUUUAAUUUCAAAUUUAAAGGCCUCUAUGGAGGCCGAACUCCAAAAGCUAUUUCCGAAUGUCUAUAUGGAUAUAUAAACAUCCAAAUUUUCGCAUUUUGUUGGAGAUACUCUUAGACUACUCACAAUGAGGAGUAACAUAAAAUAGUAACAUGCUUAUGUUACUAGUCUAAGUUACUACCUUUACAAUGAAUAAUAACAUAAAAGGUAGUAACACUGAGUCUUUCAUUCAUUAGCUUAUAGACUCAUCUUGUUUUGGUAAGCGUUAUGUUACUCAUAGUAUGAGUAACUAGCUAAGUUACUUAAUUUCUCUUUCUUCUAAUUAAUUAAUUGUCACAUCAUAUUUUUUGCUUAGGUGGCAUCUAUGUUAGUACCUAUGUUGCUUUCAUUAUAGAUAGUCUUAGAGCAUGAUUAAUAGAGCCAUUGCCAUAUCAUCUAUAGCCCAUCUCAUAGCCAACAUGUAUAAUAGUUCAUUAGAAAAGUAUACUAUUUUUUUAUUAUAUGACCCACCUUUCACUCUCACAAAGUGUAUAGGAACAUGUGUUAGAACUGGCACUCAACUCAGCCUAGACAGAACGAGCGGGCUUUUGGGCCCGCUCAUGUCCCGUUCAGGACCGGACCGUGCGGUCCAGGACCGGUAGGGAAAUAAGGUCGGUCAUAGCCCGAAAAUAUGUCGGUCCGGUCCGGUCUUUAACCGGGCCGCUCGGUCGGACCGAGAAAUCGCAGUCGUGGCCGCCGUCGUUUCUCAUCUUCGUGGCCACCGACAGCCCCCGAGUGAACCACCUUGUCCCCGAGCCUCCCCUCUCCUUCCUUCCUCUUCUUCCCGUGAGCCGCAUCUUCUUGGCGUCGGCCGCCAUCGUUGUCCUGCAUACACAGCCGUCGAUCUGGAGUUCUCGCACAUGGCCUCGACCCCAACCGUGGCCCCUAUUCAUGCGGGUAUUGCGGUUGCAUGAGCUGAAAUCGUGGCAUGACAGGAGCUGCAGAUCAAGACGUUUUUCUUAUAACUGAAAGGAACGAAAGAACAGCCAAGUACGAGUAUUACGGCAGUGCCAUCGCACGUUCACCCGUACGCAGCUAUGUUGCCGCUGCAUGAGCUGGAUUCGUGCCAAGCCACGAUCUCCCACAGCGGCUGAUCUAACUAACUUGAAACUAAGUCAAGAGGUGGACAUGCACAUGUGUUGCUUGAUGAGCGCGAAGACUGUCAGUUAAAUAGGUGCUGUCAAACUUUCAGUAAAUCCAGUUUCAUCAGAUUCAGAAAAUUUAGUCCGUCAGUUUCAUCAAAGAUUCAGCUGUCAGUUUAUUUGCAUGUGACUAAGAAAACGCAGCUAACUAGGACCUAGUCUGCAGCUAAAUAAGACCUAAACUGCAGCUGGAAAAAGUUACGGCAUCGGUCCACAGGGUCCUCUAAAGCUUGACCGAGCCAGCUUCAUUUCGAUCCGGUCCUGGAAAAGGAGCUCGCCGGACAGCUCGGUCCGGUCCGGACCGGACCGCCGGCGGCCGGUCCAAACGCCGGCUCGGAUCGGACUGUGUCCAGGCUGACACUCAACUAAGAGCAUUUGCUAGAGUUGGCUCUUAACUAAGAAUCCGCCUACCUUUUCUCCACUGUUCUCUUUCCUCUAACUAAGCAAAAAUAUACUACUUUAUUUUUUAUAGUUAUCUGACUCACCUUUAUUGUACUUAUUCUUAGUGUUUACUGUCCACUAAUGCUAAUUAAUUAAUACCUCGGUUGCUCAUUGAUACGCACAAAUCUCAACGCUAAUAAAAAAUUAUUCAUCCAACGUACGUGGUGUAGUCAUGGUCUGAAACAAAAAUGAACAAUCUAUCUCUAAAAUGUCCAUCUAGAACUCUAGAUCUAGAUCUACUAUCCAGCGGUGUCUACCCUUGUUCGCUGAGCUUAGGCAUAAUCCUGAAUUUCGCUCCGCUGGCUAACUAUUCUUUUUAGGGCAUUAGCCGGUAGACGACUAUGUUAGCCUCCCAAGGAAGAGAUUGUUAGCUGCACCACUCAAGCUAAUCCAUGGCCACACACACUCCCGAGCAGCCACUCACAUUACCGAUCCAGGCCAUGCCGGACACUCCCGAGCAGCCACAACCACCAAUCCAAGCCCCGCCGGUGACUCCCAACCCGUACACUCCUGAGCCUCCACUACAGAUCCAAGCCAUGCCGGCGGACACUCCUGAGCCACCGCUACGGAUCCAAGGAGCCAUGCCGGCGGACACUCCUAUACCACCGCUACCGAUCCAAGCAGCCAUGCCGGCUGACACUCCUGAGCCACCGCAACCGAUCCAAGGAGCCAUGCUGGCGGACACUCCUGAGCCACGGCUACCGAUCCAAGGAGCCAUGCCGGCGAACACUCCUGAGCCACCGCAACCGAUCGAAGGAGCCAUGCCGGCGGACACUCCCGAGCGGCCAUCACCAAUCCAGGCCUUGCCGGGGGACACUCUGGAGGCGCAUCGACCAACCCAAGGUAUGCCGGCAGUACUCCCAACACAACCGCCGAUACCAAUACAGCCAAUGGCUACCGUCAACCAAACAGUACUGCCGGCAGCACUACUCGCAACACAGCCACCGGUGCCGGAACCAGCCGUGAACCAGAUAGUACUGCCGCCGGCCGUCACCAUAAGCGGCUGGCCUUCACCACCUGCAGCGCCGGCUCCAUUCUGGGACUGCGAGGCGCAGGAGCCUCAGGCACCAGACUUCUGGGAAUUAUGGUUUGGUGCAAAUCCAGAGCACAUCGGCCGACCUAUCCUUCUCAUUGGCAGCCAGCAUCCAGCAUCCUAUCCCUGCCCUGGGCGAGCAUCCCCACUCCGCCACCGCGAGAACCCCCUCCGCAAGAAUUCUACCCUCGGCGAGCACCUUCCGCUCCGCCACCUUCCAAUCCUCGACCACGAUCAGCAUCCUCCGCUUGGUCAGCAUCCCCCGCUUCGUCACAAUUUCCUGGGCGAGCAUCCACCGAUCGACCAACCUACGCUCAGCCAACAUCCUACAGUACGCGAGCAUCCCCCGCUCGGCCAACAUCCUACAGUACGCGAGCGUCCCCUGCUCAGCCAACAUCCUACAGUGGGCGAGCACCCCCCGCUCGGCCAACACCCUACACUCGGCGAGCGUCUCCCGGUCGACCAACAUCCUACCCUCGGCCAACAUCCCCGGUCACCGCAGGCCCCCGCCGCAGUGCGCGAGAAUGGACCCUGCCGACUAAAAUUCGCAGCGUCGCCGGGCUGCGAUGCCAAGAUGGCUCCAUCUGGCGGGUGGACGGCGAAGCAACCUUACCACACGAGGGGUGUACCCCAUUGAUCGUGGUUCUUGGCCCGCUGUUCAAGAAGAAAGAAAGGUUGGCAGUGGAGGAUACCAAGUUGAAGUACACGCACAACCUGAUCCGUAGAGCCGACGAACAUGUGGAGCGGAGAAUGACAGAAUACCUUGAAGCCAUCGGUUCGAUGGAAGCCCUCAUACGGCAGCGCUACGACCCCGUGGAACUGGAAGACAAAUCUGAUGGAACUGGUCUGGUGGAGACGAUGGUGCUCGACAGCCUCUUCAUCAUCGAGGUGUUGGUCAUCCACUGGAUGGGGAAGAGAGAGCCAGGGCCACCCUCGCUAGAGCUGAUCAACUUCACCACACAGCCACUCAGAUGGGAGCCCAAAGCACUUCGUUUGGACCUGAUAGUCGUCCAAAACCAGAUCCCCUACUUCGUGCUCAAGAAGCUAUUCUGCAUGACCAACAUCCCCGAGCUUGGAGAGCAUGAGGAUAAACCCACCCAGCUCAAACAAAUGAUACUUGAUUAUCUCAUCGGCGAUGCAGAUGACGCACUGGCCGAAGCAAACUACCGAGGCCCAAUACAUCACAUCCUGCAUCUGGUGCAUUUACACUUGACAUUUUCCAGCUUUUCAGCUCAAGCGGUGAAUCCGGCACCACGGCUAUUAUCGGUGAAUUGGACCUUGGACAAGUUGGCACAGCAGGCCAAGGAUCUCCGCGCGUUUUAUAAACGCACCUUAUCAUGCUCUUCAAACCUACUGCCAGUUGGUUGGAAACGAUGGAAGGUGAUCCCUCCACUGCGGGAGCUCGUCCGGGUUGGUGUGAAGCUGAAGCGGGCAGAGACGGCCUGGUUCAUCCAAGUAAAGUUCGACAAGGGAGUUCUAGAGAUCCCGCCGUUCUCGUCGGGGCGAUAUCACAUUAGGCUGCUCACAAAUCUGGUGGUUAUGGAGAUGUCUGGGUGCUGGCCGCCGGACAAUCGCCUCUUCUGUAGCUAUGUCAGGUUCAUGGCCGAGCUCAUCAAGAACAAGAAGGAUGCUAAGCUUCUCUUCAAGAAGGGUAUCAUCUAGGAGAUCAACGAACAUGACAUUGACAAGAACUUGGUUAACCCAUUUCAGAUUCUUGCAGACUAUAGCCACGGCUCCAAGUAUGACUCCCGCUUCGAUCGCAUCGUUCAAGGCAUUAUCAAAUGCUACCAGAAAUGGAGCAAAGCGGGUGCAUAGUGGUCGAUCGGUGAGAUCGUGCUUAGGAAGUGGAGUUCAACAGAUUAAUCAGUGUCCAAUGGAGCAAGCACUAUGUGGUAUACCGGUGGAAAUAUUGUAAUCUACUACUCCCUUCAUAUUUUAUUUACUCCGCAUAUUAGCUUAUAAAGUUUGACCAAGUUAAAAGAACAAUAUGAACAUUUCCAGUAACAAUUUUAUAUGAUGUGAACAUAUUUGUAAUGAUGAAUACAAUGAUAUAUAUUCUGUGGUGUAUAAGUUGAUAUAUUUUUCUAAACUUGUUGAAAGUAUAUAAAGUUUAACUUUAGACAAACCUAAUAUGUGAAGUAAAUAAAAACGGAAAGAGUACUACCACAGCACCGGAGGCAACCAAUCGGUGCAACAUAUUUGAGAAAUAUAUUACGAUGGUCCGUCCGUCAAAUGUAUGUCAUUGAUGAGCCUUGAGAUCCAUGCUAAUGUCAUCCAUGAACCUUGUUGAACGUAUUAAUGCUAAUGUCAUCCAUCUGAUGUGUUCUUCCCUAAUGUAUAAGCUCUAUCUAGUAUAGUAGUUGUUCUUCCCUAGACGUUGGCUGCUGACACACAUGGACAAAUUGAGUAAUUGUGCAACUUGUCAGCCAACCUUAAGUCAAGGUCUAUUAGCUAACUUGUUUGGAACCGAACCUUGAACGGAACACAUGAGAUGGAUGACAUUAGCAUUAAUACAAACGGUUUUGCUAAAACUCAUCUAGCUGAGUUUUACUUAUGUCGCAUUCAUCUUUAUAAGCAUUGGAUGUGAUACUAUAAGAUGCGUGUUUGCUGACAUGGGUUAUAGUAUUACUUUGUAUCUGUUUUUUUUCCCAAAAAAAUGGGACCAAACUAUUUCCCAUCUAGAUGAGUUCUAGGCACUCCUAAUACAAAAGCACAAAAAGAAAUAAGAAUUCUGCAUGAAGAAGCAAAUCCAUCCGCUUAAGUGUUGUACAUGUGGUCCCUAACUAAGGCUGCGUUUGGUAGCAAGAAUACCGCGGUUUCUGAAACAACCCAUGGUUUUGAAUACUUAGAUAUGUUUGGCUUCAGCAGAAACUGAAGUUUUGUAAACCAUAGUAUCCUAGAAACCAUGGUAUUUUUGUUGUAUCAAAAAAAGAGGCCCCGGCCUCUUUUUUUUAAACAGAACAAAGGGCACUUCACGUCGUUGUCUAUGUCGAGAUAAGAUAACUAUAUCGGAUUAUAUCGCCUCCUACUUUCCCUCAGUCUGUUAUCUCGUAAAAUAAUUCUAAUAUGUCUCCUGGUCUCUCGGGAUGCUUCUUCUUCUAGCCAGCCUCACUUGUGAAUCCCACGUCUCUUUUCUCGGCAAUGAGAUAGAUUCUAGGUUAGCUAAUGUGCAUGCAGAUGCAGCAGGGAUAAACAUAUUCUACAAAUCCUAGCAUCUAGGUCCGGACGUGUACAUGACGGCUGCAUGCAGCCAACCGCCGUUAGGAGCCGCCAAUUACUCAGCUAUCUACGAUAAAUACUUGGUCAAAAAUUUGGUAAAUAGCACCAGCCAAACACAUGUAAAACUGAAAAAAUAAUGGUUUUAAGAAACUACGGUAUUCAUUGCCCACCCAUAAAAAUACUUUGAUUUUCAAUUACUACCGUUUUCUAAAAACUUUGCUGCCAAACUAGGCCUAAUUGUCAUAAUAUAAAACAAUCAUCAAACAGACAAACAUCCUAAAAUUAGAGGUAAGAUGGACUAAUCAUAUAACUAAUUAACCUGAAUGGAACACUAAGAAAAAUCAUGGGGUUUCAAGAAAUACAACAUACAUAUAUAUCGCACUUUUUUCGAUAAAAAAAUAUAUUAAUAUCACGAAGAUACCAAUUACACCCGGUCUCGAUAGCAACAAGACGUCCCAAGGCACCAAGGAUACACACAACCAAAAAAUAAAAAAAAUAAAAAACAGAAGAAAUAAGACUCUCGCAAGGUGAUCAAUCACUAGCAUCCGCAACAUUCUAACCACCAACAAAGACUACAUCUGGAUUACAAAAAAGGUUCUUUAAAAGAAACACCUUCAAGAAAAAACCAAUGCACAAGUGUUGUCGAUCCCCGAUCGAAUAUCUUGGGUUUUGACCCUAAACAAAGUCGAAGUUCAUCCAAAAACAAUGCGUUCAACAAGACCAUUGUCAGAUCAACCAAUAAAUGUCAGAACUUGACUUCUCUUCUUGGGAAUCAAGACUCGGUACUCGAGGAGCAACACCAAAUAUAGAGUCCUCCUGUGUUGUCGAGACCGCUGGUGCAACACACCACACAGUCUUCAUCACAUACAAUACACACUUCCGCAAAAGUUUUAAGACCUCCAAUGACAGUCGUCAUGACUUUAUGCAUCUCUAUCAAUGCAGGGCCGACCCACAGGGCGGGGCAACGGGGCGACCGCCCUGGGCCUGUGGGAGGUAUGGGCCCCGACCCUCCCAUACCUCUCGAUCUAUGGGUGAUCUCGUCCACUCUUCCCUCUCGGUCUCUGCUUGAUCUCGUCCACUGAUGUCUUGCAGUCCAAAGCCACAAAAAUCUUCUGCACAUAGACGUCCCAUGCAAGAGCCAAAGCUUCUCUCGCCGCCAGAACUUUCAAGGUGGACGAAUCAUAUGUGUGCUUAAAAGAUAUAGCCGAAGCACCCAAGAAAGCUCCCUCUUCGUCUCGGCACACCACUCCAAUCGCACCACAGCCAUGAGCAGCUGCUGCAUUUCCAUUCAGCUUAGCAAAGCCCCGGGCAGAGGAAUCCAGCCAUUACUUUUGAACACCCUCGAUGAGGGGCUAAGAGGUGAGGGUUUUGUAGAAAAUUCGUUGUCUCGUAUAAAAGCCUCGAUGAACCGAUGGGUCUGUAACGGACUAUCAAAAAUUUCUCCAUGAAUAGCUCUCCUUCUUGAUCUCCAAAUUGCCCAUAGAGUGACCAUCAAUCGGCUGAAACUUUGUGGCGGUAAAAGAUCCUGCAUGGAGUAAAAACUCUACGGAGUUCCACCUCACGCCAAGAACCAGCCGAAGCCUCAAUAAGAUCAGAAACCCUUUGGGGAGGAUUGGCCACCAGAGAAUGAUCGGCCUCAUCAUUCCCGGCCUGGGUAACCAGUUUUGUGACCAAAUAUUGGUGUCUUCACCCGUUCCAGUCCGCUUUAUAAUUCUUUGCACCACGACAUCCCUCCCAUUCAAAAUGGCCCGCCAGAUUUGCGAUGGAUGCCCGCCAAGUUCAGAUUCUAACAAUGAGACCGUGGGGUGGUACACUGCCUUUAGGAUCCUAGCACUAAGUGUCUCAGGCCCUUGAAUCAGCCUCCAAGCUUGUCUAGCCAAGAGAGAUAAGUUGAAUAUCUCCAUGUCCUUGAAGCCAAGACAACCCCCAUAGAUUUUGGAGACGUGCAUACGUCCCAUGAGAACCAACAAGGCUUCAUUUUGCUCCUCUUACUCCCCCACCAGAGCUGGCGAAUCAUUGAAGUGAUGUUCUCACAAAUUCCACGUGGUAAACGAAAGCAUGACAUCAAAAAUACUGGUAUAGCUUGAGCAACAGCCUUAAUCAAGACCUCCUUUCCCCCAUAAGAAAGCAUCUUCUCCAUCCAACCUUUAAUCUUCUCCCAAACCCUGUCCCGAAGAUAUUUAAAAGUCCCAUUACUUUCUCGUCCCACAUCGGUAGGAAAUCCCAAGUACCUUUCGCAGAGCUCUUCAUUGUGCACAUUCAGAGACCUUUUAAUAGAAUCUCGCAAGGCUCGAGGACAUCAUUUGCUGAAAAAUUGAUGAUUUUGCGUUCUUAACUCUCUGACCAAACACAUUGCAAUAGGUAGUCAGCAAGUUUGAUGCCAACAUCGCCCCUUCAAUACUCGCUUUGAAAAGCAACAGGCUAUCAUCCGCAAAGCGAAGGUGGUUAACAACCGGGGCUGUCGGCGCCACCUUUACUCCAACAAAAUGCGAUGAUUGAGAUUCUGAUUUCAAAAGGCACGAGAGGCCCUCUGCUGCAAUCAAAAAGAGGUAAGGGGAGAUAGGAUCCCCCUGUCUAACCCCAUGAUGGUUUGAACUGUUUUAGUUUCUCUCCAUUGAACAACACUGAAAAGGAUACUGAUUUUAUCAUGCUCAUCACAAUAUCAACCCAGGGUUUAGCAAAGCCGAGCUUGAGCAUAAUCGCCUCAAGGUAUACCCAUUCAACCCUGUCAUAAGCUUUCAUCAUAUCCAGCUUUAAAGCACGGUGGCUAUUAGAUUUUGCUUUGCUCUUCUUCAUGAAAUGCAGGGAUUCAUAGGCACUAACAAUUUUGUAUGUUAUCAGCCUCCCUGGAACAAAAGCAGAUUGUUCUUCUGAAAUAAUCUUCAGUAGAAUAAGCUUCAGUCUAUUUGCCACAACAUUUGAAGCAAUCUUGUACAAGACAUUACAAAGAUUGAUUGGCCUAAACUAAGAGAGCAAGGUUGGGUUCAAUACCUUAGGAAUAAGAACCAAAAACGUGUCGUUGAUACACUUGGCGUUGACAUCUCCCUUGAUAAUCUGCAACACAGAAUUGGUGAUUUCUUCCCCCACACACGUCCCACUGCCGCUGAUAAAAGUGCGCAGGAAAGCCAUCUGGGCGANNNNNNNNNNNNNNNNNNNNNNNNNNNNNNNNNNNNNNNNNNNNNNNNNNNNNNNNNNNNNNNNNNNNNNNNNNNNNNNNNNNNNNNNNNNNNNNNNNNNNNNNNNNNNNNNNNNNNNNNNNNNNNNNNNNNNNNNNNNNNNNNNNNNNNNNNNNNNNNNNNNNNNNNNNNNNNNNNNNNNNNNNNNNNNNNNNNNNNNNNNNNNNNNNNNNNNNNNNNNNNNNNNNNNNNNNNNNNNNNNNNNNNNNNNNNNNNNNNNNNNNNNNNNNNNNNNNNNNNNNNNNNNNNNNNNNNNNNNNNNNNNNNNNNNNNNNNNNNNNNNNNNNNNNNNNNNNNNNNNNNNNNNNNNNNNNNNNNNNNNNNNNNNNNNNNNNNNNNNNNNNNNNNNNNNNNNNNNNNNNNNNNNNNNNNNNNNNNNNNNNNNNNNNNNNNNNNNNNNNNNNNNNNNNNNNNNNNNNNNNNNNNNNNNNNNNNNNNNNNNNNNNNNNNNNNNNNNNNNNNNNNNNNNNNNNNNNNNNNNNNNNNNNNNGGGAUUUGUCACUCCGCGUGACGGAGAGGUAUCUCUGAGCCCACUUGGUAGACAUCAUCAUGAGCUCAGUGUGACUAAGGAGUUAGUCACACGAUGACGUACUACGGAACGAGUAAAGAGACUUACCGGUAACGAGAUUGAACAAGGUAUAGGUAUACCGACAGACAGAGGGGAUUGUAUACGGGAUUGAUUGAAUCCUUGACAUCGUGGUUCAUCCAAUGAGAUCAUCAUGGAGCAAGUGGGAGCCACCAUGGGUAUCCAGACCCCGCUGAUGGUUAUUGUCCGGAGAGGUGUCUCGGUCAUGUGUGCUUGUCUCCCAAACCCGUAGGGUGUACACACUUAAGGUUUGAUGACGCUAGGGUUAUAGGGAAUUGUUAUACGAGGUUACCGAAAGUGGUUCGGGGUACCGGAUGAGAUCCCGGAAGUCACGAGGAGCUACGGAAUGGUCCGGAGGUAAAGAUUGAUAUAUAGGACGGAUGGUUUUGGACACCGGAAGUGUUUCGGGCGUCACCGGUAACGUACCGGGACCACCGGAAGUGGCCCCGGGGAUCCACCGGUAGGGGGCCACGACCUCGGGAGGCUAGAUGGGCCAAGUGCGGGAGGGAACCAGCCCCUAGGUGGGCUGGUGCACCCCCCACACUCAGCCCAAGGCGCAGGAGGUGGAGAGGGGGGAACCCUAGGCGCUGGUGGACCUAAGGCCCACCUAGGGGUGUGCCAACCCCUCCCCCUGCCCUGGCCGCCGCACCUCCCAUCUGGGGGGGGGCUGCCGCACCACCUAGGGUGGGAACCCUAGGGGUGGCACCCCCCCUCCCCUCCUCCUAUAUAUAGUGGGGGUUUCGGGGCUGUUUUGCACACAGUUUUCCCUCUCCCUUGGCACAGCCCUGCUCUUCUUUGUCCUCCUCUCUGCCGGUGCUUGGCGAAGCCCUGCCGGGAGACCUCGUCUCUCCAUCGACACCACGCCGUCGUGCUGCUAGAGAUCUUCCCCAACCUCUCCCUCCUCCCUGCUAGAUCAAGGUGCGGGAGACGUCACCGGGCUGCACGUGUGUUGAACGCGGAGGUGCCGUGGUUCGGCACUAGAUCGGAAUCACACCGCGAUCUAAAUCGCCGCAAGUACGACUCCAUCAACCGCGUUCUAGCAACGCUUCCACUUAGCGAUCUUGAAAGGUAUGAAGAUGCUCUCACCCCUCUCUCGUUGCUGGUCUCUCCAUAGGAAGAUCUGAAUAUGCGUAGGAAAUUUUUUGAAUUUAUGCUACGUUACCCAACAGUGGCAUCCGAGCGAGGUUUUCUAUGCGUAGAUUCUAUGCACGAGUAGAACACAAAAGGUUGUGGGUGAUGAUUUGUCAAUUGCUUGCCGCUACUAGUCUUAUUCUUUUCCGGCGGUAUUGUGGGAUGAAGCGGCCUGGACCGACCUUACACAUACGCUUACGUGAGACUGGUUCCACCGACAGACAUGCACACCGUGCAUAAAGGUGGCUAGCGGGUGUCUGUCUCUCCCACUCUAGUCGGAUUGGAUUUGAUGAAAAGGGUCCUUAUGAAGGGUAAAUAGCUUUGGCAUAUUAUCGCUGUGGCUGUCACGUAGGUAAGAAGGCGUUCUUGCUAGAAACCCAAAUCAGCCACGUAAAACUUGCAACAACAAUUAGAGGACGUCUAACUUGUUUUUGCAGGGUUUGACAUGUGAUGUGAUAUGGCCAAAGUUGUGAUGUUGCAUGUAUGAUGUAUGAGAUGAUCAUGUUAUUGUAAUAGGUUUCACGACUUGCAUGUCGAUGAGUAUGACAACCGACAGGAGCCAUAGGAGCUGUCUUAAUUUAUUGUAUGAGAUGCAAUGCCAUGUGCUUACUACUUUUACUUCAUUGCUAACGGUUAGCUGUAGUAGUAGUGAUAGUAGUAGUUGGCGUGACGACUUCAUGGAGACACGAUGAUGGAGAUCAUGGUGUCACGUCGAUGACGAUGAUGAUCAUGCGAUGCCUGAAGAUGGAGAUCGAAAGAGCAAAGAUGAUAAUGGCCAUAUCAUGUCACUAUAUGAUUGCAUUGUGAUGUUUAUCAUGUUUUUCAUCUUAUAGCUUAGAACGACGGUAGCAUAAUAAGAUGAUCCCUCUUAAAAUUUUGAAAAUGUAUUCCCCUAAGUGUGCACCGUUGCGAAGGAUCGUUGUCUCGAAGCACCACGUGAUGAUCGGGUGUGAUAGAUUCUAAAGUUCGCAUACAACGGGUGUAAGCAAGAUUUACACACGCGAAACACCUAGGUUGACUCGACGAGCUUAGCAUGUACAGACAUGACGUCGAAUACAAGAGACCGAAAGGUCGAACAUGAGUCGUAUGGUUGAAUACGAUCAACAUGAAGUUGCUCACCAUGGUGACUAGUCCGUCUCACGUGAUGAUCGGACACGGGUUAGUCAACAUGGAUCAUGUAUCACUUAGAAGACUAGAGGGAUGUCGAUUUAAGUGGGAGUUCAUACUUAAUUUGAUUAAAUGAACUUAAUUGUCAUGAACUUAGUCUAAAAUUUGUCUUUAUAAAUAUUGUAGAUGGCCAACGUCAACAUCAAUUUCAACGCAUUCCUAGAGAAAAAUAAGCUAAAAGAUGAUGGUAGCAACUAUGCGGACUGGGUUCGCAACUUGAAGCUCAUCCUUGAAGCAGCUAAAAAGGCUUAUGUCCUUGAUGCGCCGCUAGGUGACCCUCCCGCUCCCGCAGCAGCCAAGGACAUUCUGAACGUCUAGCAAAUGCGGAGUGAUGACUACUCUCUAGUUAGGUCUGGCAUGUUAUACAGUUUGGAAACGGGGCUCCAAAGGCGUUUUGAGCAACACGGUGCAUAUGAGAUGUUCCAAGAGCUGAAACUAGUUUUUCAAGCUCAUGCCCGUGUCGAGAGAUAUGAAGUCUCCGACAAGUUCUUUAGUUGUAAGAUGGAGGAGAACAGUUCUGUCAGUGAGCACAUACUCAAAAUGUCUGGGUUACACGGUCGUCUGACUUCACUUGGAGUUGAACUUCCGGAUGAUGCUAUAAUUGACAGAAUCCUCCAGUCUCUCCCACCAAGCUACAAAGGUUUUGUGCUGAACUACAACAUGCAAGGGAUGGACAAGACCAUUCCCGAGUUGUACUCGAUGCUCAAGUCUGCAGAAGUAGAAAUCAAGAAAGAGCAUCAAGUGUUGAUGGUCAACAAGACCACUAGUUUCAAGAAGGGCAAGGGUAAGAAGAACUUCAAGAAAGACGGCAAAGUCGUUGCCGCGCCCGGUAAGCCAGAUGCCGGGAAGAAGAAAAAGAAUAGACCCAAGCCUGAGACUGAGUGCUUCUAUUGCAAGGGAAAAGGUCACUGGAAGCGGAACUGCCCCAAAUACUUAGCGGACAAGAAGGCCAGCAAUGUUAAAGGUAUAUGUGAUAUACAUGUUAUUGAUGUGUACCUUACCAACGCUCAUAGUAGCUCCUGUGUAUUUGAUACCGGUGAUGUUUCUCACAUUUGCAACUCAAAGCAGGAACUGCAGAAUAAGCGGAGACUGGCCAAGGACGAGGUGACGAUGCGCGUCGGGAAUGGCUCCAAGGUCGAUGUGAUCGCCGUCGGCACGCUACCUCUACAUCUACCGUCGGGAUUAGUUUUAAACCUUAAUAAUUGUUAUUUAGUACCAGCUUUGAGCAUAAAUAUUGUAUCAGGGUCUUGCUUGAUGCGAGACGGCUACUCAUUUAAGUCAGAGAAUAAUGGCUGUUCUAUUUAUAUGAGUGAUAUGUUUUAUGGUCAUGCUCCGCUGGUGAAUGGUUUAUUCUUGAUGAAUCUCGAUCGUGAUGUUACACAUAUUCAUAGUGUGAGUACCAAAAGAUGUAAAGUUGAUAAUGAUAGUCCCACAUACUUGUGGCACUGCCGCCUUGGUCAUAUCGGUGUUAAGCGCAUGAAGAAGCUCCAUACUGAUGGACUAUUAGAGUCUCUUGACUUUGAAUCAUUUGACACAUGCGAACCAUGCCUCAUGGGCAAGAUGACUAAGACUCCAUUCUCAGGAAUAAUGGAGAGAGCAACCGACUUAUUGGAAAUAUACAUACUGAUGUGUGUGGUCCAAUGAACGUUGAAGCUCGUGGUGGCUAUUGUUAUGUUCUCACUCUCACCGACGAUUUGAGUAGGUAUGGGUAUAUCUACUUGAUGAAGCACAAAUCUGAGACAUUUGAAAAGUUCAAGGAAUUUUAGAGUGAGGUCGAGAAUCAACGUGACAGAAAAAUUAAGUGUGUACGAUCUGAUCGUGGAGGAGAAUAUUUGAGUCACGAGUUUGGCACACACCUAAGGAAGUGUGGAAUCGUUUCACAAUUGACGCCGCCUGGCACACCGCAACGCAACGGAGUGUCUGAACGUCGAAAUCGCACUUUAUUAGAUAUGGUACGAUCUAUGAUGUCUCUUACCGACUUACCGCUGUCAUUUUGGGGAUAUGCAUUAGAAACUGCAGCAUUCACUUUAAAUAGGGCACCGUCUAAAUCCAUUGAGAUGACACCGUAUGAACUAUGGUUUGGCAAGAAACCUAAGUUGUCAUUUCUUAAAGUUUGGGGCUGCGAUGCUUAUGUGAAGAAACUUCAACCAGAAAAGCUCGAACCCAAAGCGGAGAAAUGUGUAUUCAUAGGAUACCCUAAGGAAACUAUUGGGUAUACCUUCUAUCUUAGAUCCGAUGGUAAAACAUUUGUUGCCAAGAACGGAUCCUUUAUAGAGAAAGAGUUUCUCUCGAAAGAAGUAAGUGGGAGGAAGGUAGAACUUGAUAAGGUAAUUACACCCCCUCUCGAACAGGAUAGAGCGCAGCUUGGGAAGUUGUUCCUGUGGCGCCUACACCAACUGAAGAGGAAGUUAAUGAUAAUGAUCAUGAAGCUUCGGAUCAAGUUACUACUGAACCGCGAAGGUCCACAAGGGCACGCUCCGCACCAGAGUGGUACGGCAACCUUGUGAUGGAAAUCAUGUUGUUAGAUAAUGGUGAACCUUCGAACUAUGAAGAAACGAUGGCGGGCCCGGAUUCCAACAAAUGGCUUGAAGCUAUGAAAUCCGAGAUAGGAUCCAUGUAUGAGAACAAAGUAUGGACUUUGGUGGACUUGCCCGAUGACCGGCGAGCCAUAGAAAAAAAAUGGAUCUUCAAGAAGAAGACUGAUGCAAACGGUAAUGUAACCGUUUAUAAAGCUCGACUUGUCGCAAAGGAUUCUCGACAAAUUCAAGGAAUUGACUACGAAGAGACUUUCUCUCCCGUAGCAAAGCUGAAAUCAGUCUGAAUCAUGUUAGCAAUUGUCGCCUUUUAUGAUUAUGAAAUUUGGCAAAUGUACGUCAAAACAGCGUUCCUUAACGGGAACCUUAAGGAAGAGUUGUAUAUGAUGCAACCAGAAGGUUUUGUCGACCCUAAGGGUGCUAACAAAGUGUGCAAGCUCCAGCGCUCCAUCUAUGGGCUGGUGCAAGCAUCUCGGAGUUGGAACAUUCGUUUUAAUGAGGUGAUUAAAGCGUUUGGGUUCAUACAGGUUUAUGGAGAAGCCUGUAUGUACAAGAAAGUGAGUGGGAGCUCUGUAGCUUUCCUCAUACUGUAUAUGGAUGACAUAUUGUUGAUGGGGAAUAAUAUAGAGAUGUUGGAGAGCAUAAAGGCCUAUUUGAACAAGAGUUUUUCAAUGAAGGACCUUGGAGAAGCUGCAUACAUAUUAGGCAUCAAGAUCUAUAGAGAUAGAUCGAGACGCCUCAUAGGUCUUUCGCAAAGUACAUACCUUGACAAGAUAUUGAAGAAGUUCAACAUGGAAAACUCAAAGAAAGGGUUCUUACCAGUUUUGCAAGGUAUGAGAUUGAGUAAGACUCAGUCGCCGACCACGGCAGCAGAUAAAGAGAAGAUGAGUUACGUCCCCUACGCUUCAGCCGUAGGCUCUCUUAUGUAUGCCAUGCUGUGUACCAGACCUGAUAUAAACCUUGCCAUAAGUUUAGUAGGGAGGUACCAAAGUGAUCCCGGCAUGGAACAUUGGACGGCGGUCAAGAAUAUCCUUAAGUACCUGAAAAGAACUAAGGAGAUGUUUCUCGUUUAUGGAGGUGACGAAGAGCUCGUCGUAAAGGGUUACGUCGACGCUAGCUUCGACACAGAUCCGGAUGACUCUAAGUCACAGACCGGAUACGUAUAUGUUUUGAAUGGUGGGACAGUGAGCUGGUGCAGCAGCAAGCAAGAAGUCGUGGCAGCAUCUACAUGUGAAGCAGAGUACAUAGCUGCUUCAGAAGCGGCUCAUGAAGGAAUUUGGAUGAAGGAGCUCAUCACCGACCUUGGAGUGGUUCCAAGCGCGUCGGGUCCAAUGACGCUCUUCUGUGAUAACACUGGGGCCAUUGCCAUAGCCAAGGAGCCCAGGUUUCACCAGAAGACGAAGCACAUCAAACGCCGCUACAACUCCAUCCAGGACCAUGUCGAGAGUGGAGUAAUAGAGAUUUGUAAAGUACACACGGAUCUGAAUGUUGCAGACCCGUUGACUAAACCUCUUCCACGAGCAAAACAUGAUCAACACCAUAAUGCUAUGGGUGUUCGAUACAUCACAAUGUAACUAGGUUAUUGACUCUAGUGCAAGUGGGAGACUGUUGGAAAUAUGCCCUAGAGGCAAUAAUAAAAUGGUUAUUAUCAUAUUUACUUGUUCAUGCUAUAAUUGUAUUAACACGAAACAGUAAUACAUGUGUGAAUAAAAAGAUCACAAUGUGUCCCUAGCAAGCCUCUAGUUGGCUAACUCGUUGAUCAAUAGAUGAUCAUGGUUUCCUAAUCAUGGGCAUUGGAUGCCAUUGAUAACGGGAUCACAUCAUUGGGAGAAUGAUGUGAUGGACAAGACCCAAUCCUAAGUGUAGCACUAGAUCGUGUUGUUCGUAUGCUAAAGCUUUUCUAAUGUCAAGUGUCUUUUCCUUCAACCGUGAGAUUGUGCAACUCCCGGAUACCGUAGGAGUGCUUUGGGUGUAUCAAACGUCACAACAUAACUGGGUGACUAUAAAGGUGCACUACGAGUACCUCUGAAAGUGUCUUUUGGGUUGGUACGAAUCGAGAUCGGGAUUUGUCACUCCGCGUGACGGAGAGGUAUCUCUGGGCCCACUCGGUAGAACAUCAUCAUGAGCUCAAUGUGACUAACGAGUUAGUCACACGAUGACGUACUACGGAACGAGUAAAGAGACUUACCGGUAACGAGAUUGAACAAGGUAUAGGUAUACCGAUGAUCGAAUCUCGGGCAAGUUCUAUACCGACAGGCAAAGGGGAUUGUAACGGGAUUGAUUGAAUCCUUGACAUCGUGGUCCGUCCGAUGAGAUCAUCGUGGAGCAAGUGGGAGCCACCAUGGGUAUCCAGACCUCGCUGAUGGUUAUUGGCCGGAGAGGUGUCUCGGUCAUGUCUGCGUGUCUCCCGAACCCGUAGGGUCUACACACUUAAGGUUUGAUGACGCUAUGGUUAUAGGGAAUUGUUAUACGAGGUUACCGAAAGUUGUUCGCGGUCCCGGAUGAGAUCCCGAACGUCACAAGGAGCUCCGGAAUGGUCCGGAGGUAAAGAUUGAUAUAUAUGACGGAUGGUUUUGGACACCGGAAGUGUUUUGGGCGUCAACGGUAACGUACCGGGACCACCGGAAGUGGCCCCGGGGGUCCACCGGAAGGGGGCCACGACCCCGGGAGGCUAGAUGGGCCAAGUGCGGGAGGGAACCAGCCCCUAGGUGGGCUGGUGCGCCCCCCACAGUCAGCCCAAGGCGCAGGAGGUGGAGAGGGGGGAAACCCUAGGCGCUGGUGGGCCUAAGGCCCACCUAGGGGUGCGCCAACCCCUCCCCAUGCCCUGGCCGCCACACCUCCCAUCUGGGGGGGCUGCCGCACCACCUAGGGUGGGAACCCUAGCGGUGGCACCCCCCCUCCCCUCCUCCUAUAUAUAGUGGGGGUUUCGGGGCUGUUUUGCACACAGUUUUCCCUCUCCCUUGGCGCAGCCCUGCUCUUCUUUCUCCUCCUCUCUGUCGGUGCUUGGGGAAGCCCUGCCGGGAGACCUCGUCUCUCCAUCGACACCACGCCGUCAUGCUGCUGGAGAUCUUCCCCAACCUCUCCCUCCUCCUUGCUGGAUCAAGGUGCGGGAGACGUCACCGGGCUGCACGUGUGUUGAACGCGGAGGUGCCGUGGUUCGGCACUAGAUCGGAAUCACACCGCGAUAUGAAUCGCCCCGAGUACGACUCCAUCAACCGCAUUCUAGCAACGCUUCCGCUUAGCGAUCUUCAAAGGUAUGAAGAUGCUCUCACCCCUCUCUCGUUGUUGGUCUCUCCAUAGGAAGAUCUGAAUAUGCGCAGGAAAUUUUUUGAAUUUAUGCUAUGUUACCCAACACACAGUCAAUCUCCACGGUUCCCCUCCCGGCUCCAAAACUUCCAUGCCAAUGUGAUAAACUGAAUACCCCAAAAUACUUUUAUUUAUUGAGCUCUUCCAAUACAAACCAAUGCCACCACUUCUCCCCCACACUGUCAAUAGCAAAAGCUUUAUCAUAUGCGAUAGUACUCGCUAAAUUUUCUACUCUAGCUCUGUAAAUUUGGGUUUCUAGGAUACAAAGCAGAGUAGGGUCAUAAAUCUUCGCUAGGUCGCGAAGUUCUCGAACUGUCGAGGUCUUUCCCACUCCUCGACAGUUCCAACAAAUGUAAUCCAUUGUGCCCGGCGGCACUCCUCAUGGGAGCCCGCCGAUAACGCAAUGUUCUAUCGAGCAGUAUUGUCUCCGAUAUUCAUACCCUUCUUCAGCCUCUUCUUGUCCUUGCAAGGUGAAACAUAAACCGGUGGAAGAGGUGGAACUCCAGCGGAGUCGCUCUUGCCAUCCGACGUCCCCCCAUUGAUCACAAUAGCAUUAUUGUUGGAUGAAACCGCAUGAUCUCUGUCUAGCAGCCCUCUUUUACUGUUAUUUUUGGCCUCUUCGAAGAUAGAGUCAGCUUCUGGUUCCACAACACUAGCCGUUCCUGAAUCCCCCGCAGCUAAAUCGUGAUCAGCACUGACCGCGCCCUCAUUUCCUUUAGUCUCCACUGCACUAGGAUCUAGACCGAAGUCCAUAUCCUCAGCUUCCGAUGCCUUGGGCUCCUCAGCAUGUCCACGUCGUCUUUCCGUAGUGCGGCCUGGGUUUACUCCUCUUCCUCCUCCCCUACCACCACGGGAGGGAAAUCUACCCCCAGUCUUGGAAGAAAACUGCAUCUCCCUCCUCUGUGCUAUCAUCUAGCGUCCCCACUUUUGAUCCUCUUCUUUCCAAACCCCACUGCCACAUUCCUCGUAGUCGUGCCACAUCAGCCCACAAGCCUUGUAGAAGAAAGGGAUUUUCUCAUACUUAACAAUAAGCAUCCUAGUGCCCUCCCCUACCAUUGUCAACGGUAUAAAGCGAGUCAGGGGUUUAGCCGUCAGAACCUUCGCUCGCACAUACACAUAUUCACCCUCAUAGAAGAGGGUAGGCUACAUCUGAACCUCUCUCACCUUGCCAAUUCUGCGGGCUAACUGAUCAACAAUCGUGUCCCGCCGAUACAUAACCGGUAUCUUAUGAAUCUGAGCCCACACAUAAAGACCAUCUAGAACGACUGAUUCAGGGUCAGUUUUUCCAUCAUAAUCCUCAAUGAUAACACCCAGGCCUCUAAAGAGCAAUGGACCUCCAUGCACAGCCUUCUUCCAAUCCCCAAGGCAGAAAACUGAAAUAUGAACAAGUUAUCUCCGGCCUCUCUGAAUUUUGGCGUACAAGCCAGAAUCCAUAUGAAUUUCAUGUUUUCCAGGAAUGCUGUAGGGCUAAAGUAGCGACCCGUGUUUACCCUCGCAAUUGCCAUCCAUCUUGCCUCAGCAGCGAAAGAUUGGGCGUCCUUUUUGUCGAUGAUCACCUCAUCUAGUUCCUCCUCCAUGAGUUCCAUGUUUUUCAACAUCUCCUCUAGAUCAACUGCCUUCUCCUUACUCCUUCGCGAGGAGGAUCCUCCAAGGUCUUCCAUGGGAAGCCCCUAGAGACACAAAGAACACCAACUCUCGCCCCCCUUGCGGGAAGACGGACCGGUAAACGUCCUAGAUUCAGCAGCCCCCGGUGGCGAUUGUGGAAAAUCGCCAGCGACGCCGCUAAACCCUAAACCCUAAACGAGAGGGUAUUACGACCUAAAAUUGAAUGGCUGAUAUCUCUCAUUCUCACGUAGAUUCAGUUCAAUAAAGCCCAUAAACCACGAGAUUCACCUUGGUCAAACUCGUGUUUUCUUUCUUUUGAGAUCGACCCCAUAGCGAGCAUCUUGUUCAUUUCCCCUUCACUGCAGGCAAUUGGCCCAACCGCCCUUGCCUACAAAAAAAAAUGGCCCGACCGCCCGAAGUGUUUAGUGAAAGCUCGGUUUAUAUGAUUUCUUAAAAAAACAUGGUUUAUAUGGGGGAGACUUGUGUGAGAUCUCACAUUAGGUGAAAUCUCUGAGAUUAAGUUUUUUUGAAAGCAAAAAACAUGUUCAAACGUUCUCAAAAAAUUUGUAGACACUAAUCAAUAUUUGAUAUACAUCUCAAAAAGUAUCAUCUUCUAAUUUAACUUACAUGAAUAGAAACAAGGAAGACAAAAUCGGAUGUGAAUAGUGGUAAACUACUAUUCACCCACAGCUGCUACUAUUCAUAUUUGAAUUUGACUUUUCUGAAUCUCUAAAUCUAAGCCGAUAUUUUAGCUGAUUUUUUCGGUGUUGUAGACAUAUCCUACAUGAAUGUUGUCAAAUAAUUUCAUAUUUUUUUGAAAUGUCUAAAUAUGAAUUUUUGGGGUUGAUCACACCAUCUCACCUAAAUGUGAGAUCAACAAACUUUCAUUGUUUGAUCUGUUUUUCUUGCUUCACUCGUUGUUUGUGAAUACUAUUUUGUAUGAUUUUUUGUUGUUUUUGUAUGUGAUCGUGCUACGAUCGUGCAUUGUUCCAUGAGAACUAAGUUUUUCUUUUAAAUAUCCAUAGUAUAUAUCAUCUUGCAAGCUGCAAGAUACGAUAAUACAACGACAAUUAUAAUGACGUUCACGAUAAUUCGACAGGUAUAUCUAUCUCCUUGCUUUCAAAAAAUAAAAUGACCCUGCUACAAUCGUGCAUUGUGCGGUGAGAACUAAGUGUUUUUCUUUUAAUGAAUUCAUUCAUACUAUAUGGUCUUGUUGGGAAUUAGCACACAAAUGCAUUUGUGGUUAACUAAAAACUGUAGCGGAAACAAAGUAAUCUCAGCACCACAUCGUGUACUAACUCAAGCAUCGUUGCUUAGCACGAAAGGAAACAUAUGCAGCAGCAUAUAUGGAGAAGAAAAUGUUACUCAACAGACAAGACGCUCCUCAGACAAGUGUCUUGUGGCAGGAGUAGCUUUCUGGACAGCAACAAGCAUCAACAAAAGAGACACCCGAUUUUUACGUGGAAAACCCCUAAACUUGAGGGGGAAACCAUGGGCUGAAGCCACCCAAAUCCUCUUCCACUAUUAUCAAAUGUGGGAGACAACAAGUUUCUUCUCUAGAUAGCACUAGAGGAUCUCAUACAUCAAGAUUUCAGAAUCUUGGAUGAACACAAAUAAGAUUUGGGGCUCAAGAUCUAGGGAUUGGAACAAUCUCACCAAGGAUGGUGGAACCGCGACUUGAAGGAUACAAGGUAGUGGAUCUGGAUCGUCACAACCUUGGGGAGGAGCUCCCUUUGCUUCUUCCUUCAGUCUUUCUCUUCUUUCCUUUCUCACUUGGUUUUUUCUCUCUUGUUCUCUAAUGGAGAACAAACUGAUUUUUGUCCUGCUAGAUGGUGGCUAUUGGAUGGAGGGUAAAGCAUCCCCAUCCACUCACGUGCAAAGACCAAAAUGACCUUACGUCAUAACCCUAAUGGGUAGUGGGCUUCUUCACCUCUUUGGGUUGUUUAAAAGGCCUCAAAUGUUCAUCUCCUCACAACUCACAUCAGGAGGAUAUCCGAACAAGUCUUGCAAGCUGCAAGAUAUGAUAAUACAACAACAAGUGUAAUGAUGUUAACGAUAAUUCGAUAGGUAUAUAUCUAUCUUCUUGCUUUCAGGAAAAUAAACGAACUUUCUCGCUCCUGAAGCAUUCCCUAUAAAGAGAAAAACAAUAUUCGUAGGGUGCAGUCAAGAUAUAGUAGUGACUUCCAAAAUUCCAGUAUAUAGCUCAGUAACAAAAAGGCUGGAACUUUAGAUCUCCUCUUCGGCCUUUUGAACACCUACCAUCCUGGCAUAGUCCACCCAUCUGUUCAGAAAGUCCAUUGGUAAGUAGUAUUGCCGUAACAGGGCCAAGACUUGUGUACCUGUUGCUAAUACUUACAGUAAAGAAUCCAAGAAUGUGUUCCAUGUCCUAACAGCGAAGCAGAGUGCGCUCAGCAGCAUCUUGUGGCUAUGCAAUACUGGCUCGAACAUCCUCUGCUUAAUUACACUGACAAAAUCUGGUACCUGGUGAGGUAUAUGGUUCUCAUUUUUCUUUAAAUAACAAUGAAGUCGUUAAUAGCAAAGAGACAACAUUAUUUUUAGAUACUACCCUCUGCAAGGGUUGCCCCAUUCAAGAGAAAACAAGAGAAUUGAUUCAAUAGAGGAUUUUUGCUACAUGUGUCAAAUAUUAUGGAGAAUAUGUGUACCUGAGGUUACUAGAAAACAACCAUAUAUAUACCGUAGGAAACAUUAGUUGACACAACUGGAAUGCCCUCAACUUCGUCGUCGAGGCCCUUGUCAUAAGCCUUCCUUGCUUUGAUCUAUGCAUUGGUGACACUACCACCCUAGCAAAAUCUAAGCAACUCCCGCCCCCCUCCGCUCCUAGCAGAAAUCCAUGCAAUUGUUCUAGCAAGAUCCAAAGCAACUAUCCCUAGCAAAAUAUGCAAGCAAUUGUAUUACCAAAACAUAAAGAAAAAUAGUUCCUAACAAAACUAAGCAAACAUAUUACCAAACCAUGAUGCAAAACUGUUCUAGCAAAACUAAACAACUAUCCUACAAAACCAAACAACUGCAUUAUUAAAAACAACUAGGUAAAAAAGUGUCCUAGCAAAAGCAAGCAACUAUCCCUAACAUUACUACUUAGAUUGUCUACUUUAGGCAGAAUAGCCUUUGUGGACAACUAUCUAGCCCCCCUCCCCAUGCAACUUAUCUAUUCUACCAAAAAUCCAAAAUAACUCAAUUAUAAAGAAAACACAAAAGAAAAAAAUGUUCUAGCAAAAAAAUCCAAAGCAACUAUCUAGCAAAACCAAGCAACUGCAUUACAAAUAACACAAAUGCAAAAACCUGUUCCUGCCCCCAACAAAUCACGAGAACUUAACAAAUGAUAAUUAGUUGCCUAACAAUGAUGUCUGGUUGCAUUGCCAUCGCUAAUUAGUUGGCUACGGUACUAGGAGAAGUUGUUUGUCGGUGUAGCUCAUGUUGCCUAUACUCUGAAACAUACUGUUAGCAUCCUCGAUAGUGUGGUAAACAACUUAUAUGUGAAUUUAGUGAACAUGAUAGUCGUGUGAGGCAACUUAUAAGGACUUUUCGUUGAUAGGCAAUCAUAGAAGGUAACUAACAAGAAGUUAUUUUCUUAUUGCACUAAAGUUGCCUCUCUAAAACCCAAAAGAUCCUCUAAAAAAGGUUCCUCGAAACAUAACUAUAUGGAAUCUAGUUUUAAAGAACUCAUCGCGAGAAACCCAACAAUUAAAAGGAAUCUAAAUUACGAUAUUCGAAUCAAAAGUUAUGGCUUCUAAAACUUUAUAAAACCUAAAUAAAUGCGCGUACAUUUUCAUUCUUUGCUUGUACAAAGUAGGAGCGCUUGAAGGGACGAGGACCAGAUACUUUCCUUUUUUUAGUGUAAUGAUGACACGUGAUGCUAAUUACCUUUUAUUGUAGGUCUGUUCGGAUGCAUCCCGUAUUAUGUGAGUUUUUUAUUGCGUAAGGCUCGAAAAAGCCAAUUAGUAUAGUUGCACUAAUAAGCAUUUUGGAUGUUUUUUUUUGCAGUUUUGCUAAAGCACAUCACAUCUAGUUCCUAUAUAAAGAGGAAAGGGGGAAUACAAACCUAUCAAUUAUCUUUUGUAGAUGUCAUGUGAAGUUCGAGCACAACAAGUAGAAAUCACAAUUAUAUGGUACAUGUUAGAAAUCACAAUUAUAUCCUGACCUGACGCUCGUCUCAUUCACCACCACCGCUGCUGCUCCUGCUGGAUUUAUAACAAGAUGAUUUAGAUAUGUCAGUACGUUACGAAGGCAGAGAGAAUCAGAACGCCAAUGGAUGGAUCAGACAUCAGAGUAUUGAUCAGUUGAUGAACCUGUUGUGAUGGGGGAGGCCGACGAUGCAGUAGGAGAGGUCGGACGACGACGCGACGGAGGGGUACGACGCCAUGUCGAUCUCCUCGGCCUUCUGCGGCGACGACGACACCGAGGCCGACUCCUUCUUCCUCCUCCUCCUCCCCGCGCCGCCUCCGCUCCGCGCCUCGCGGUCGCCGCGGGAGAGAGACAGGAGCCUCUCGAACGUGUCCACCAGGUACCUGACGCGGCCCUCGCCGUGCUCCGGGACGCCGGCCAUGGCCUCCUCGAGGGCCGCACUCCACGCCGCGCUCUUCCGCGAGGCCGCCUCCCCGCGCCGCUGUCCUUGCCCGUGAUCCUCCUCGGCGACGUCGCAGGGCGAUGAGAGCCUCGCCCUGACCUUCUUCUCGCAGACCGUGCGCGGGGCGGGGGCAUCAGCGAGCGGAGCGGCGGCGGCUGCCGUGCGCGGGGCGAGCGGCGCGGGGGCGUCGGCGGCCGUGUGCGGGGCGAGCGGGGCGGCGACAUCGGCGAGCGGAGCGGCGACGACGGCCGUGCACGGGGCGAGCGGGGUGGCGGCAUCGGCGAGCGGAGCGGCGGCUGCGGUCGUGCACGGGGCGAGCGGGGCCAGAGGGGGCUUCCGGGAGCAGUUUGCGGCCAAUCGGGGCAGUAUGUUUUUGUUAACGACGAGGGAGUUUUCGUUAGCGACAAGGAUUUCGUUAACAAGAUAAUUAAGUCCGUUGAUUAAGUGAUUAGACGGCUUAGAUUGCUAGUUGGAUCUGCCCUCUCGUGCUUUUAAUAGUACAGAUAAAAAAAAUCAUAUCCUAUAAAUCAAAUGACAUCUCUUUCCCUAUAGGAUUUGAGAUGCCAUGCAUCUCAGUUCCUAUGGUUAUAUUCUUAUACAACCAAAGGAGGACGAAUUGUGCAAAUCAAUAUACACACAUGUAACCAGCAAAGGAAAUUACAGUAUCUGAUUACCAAAUAUUCAACCACAGAAAUAGUAGCGUGUCCCCAGGCGCAACUUAAUUGUUUCAGUACUGCAAACAGAACUCCUCAAAUCUGGCCAAGCUGCAGAAAACAUUAUCUGUAUGCUCAUUUUGAGUAAAAUGUAGUUGAAUGAUAAAAGGGGAAAGUAGAAGCAAAACAAUAUAUCACUUAACUAAACGGGGAAAAGAUCAUCAUGGUCACUGACCUUUUAAGGAGAGGCUUUGGAUUGUAAGGGAAUAAAUCUUUCUUAUGAAGAUCUUCCAAUGUUCUCUUUAACAAAAGGAGGCAUACUUAACACUCACGAAAAGUGGUUCUUUCCUCUUACUUUCCUUGUCAUGAGCGGAACCUAACUUGGUGCCUUCCAUUGAGCUACCAGUGAAACUAUUUAUAUUUUUGAAGAUUCUUUGCCUUUUACAGUUGAGUUUUUGUAUUUGCGCCUCGUAAACUGAGUCGUCAACAAAAGCAUCCCAACACCUGGAUACCAGUCGUAGGCACCUGAGAACAGAGACAUAGAUAUCACAAUGGGGAGCCUACACGUGUCUGUCAUUUGACUGUAUCAGAAAGAAAAUGGAAGCUAGCUGAUCGUAAUAGAUAUUGGGCACAAUGCACACCUACAUCUUUAGCUAUGAGAUAAUCAACAAGUACCAAGUGAUCAUCAUAGUGUAGCUGCAAAAUAAAUAUAACAAACUAUUAACGACUCAAAUGGUAUAUUAUACAGUCAAACAGGAGAAUGGAUUUGGAUGUUCCAUAGAAAAGAAACGACUAAUGGGUCAGCAAAGGCAGGAAUCCUAAAUAACACAUUUGGUAAGUCUCUUACAAAUUGCCGAACAAUCCAUAUGCUUGAAAGAUCUAAUAAAAAAUAUAUUUAUUUGUACUUACGUGCAAAUUGCAACACAUUCCUACAGUCUGAAGUUACGGACUAUCUGUAAUUUACCAAUGCCUACGGUCUCACACUCACUUGGAAAACCAAUAUGCUUAAGUUGGGUACGAGAUAGUAACAAGAGAUGAUUUACCUCUAGCUAUGGUAGCUGAUGUACACUUACCCGGACCUAUUAUCUUGAUUGUUAUUAGAGCCCUAAUGAAUUACUGCCAAUUUACUCUAUGAAGUGCAGUAACCAGAAUUCCUCGGCCAAAAGAUCAUUAUAGGAUGGCAUCUCCUAUCCUGUACUGCAUAAACUACUGGAAGUUUGUUGCUACAUCUUUGAUAACACAACACCAAGAAACCAUGACAGUAUGAAGCUAUUUGCACAAUCAAAUGAACAAGAACUGAUUGUCAUAAUACUGCUUUGCAGAGAUCAAUAAGCAUCUAGCAACUCUAACAGAAUAAGACGUAUAACAUGUUGACUGACUCGGCAAUGAAAGCCAUUGAUGAAAAAUAUAAACUGGGUCAAAAAUGGUGGAGAACAGUUUGGCACCAAUCAGUUCAGACGUCCAUUUAGUUUCCAUUAUCUCUGCAAAUUUGGACAGAAGGUCAUAACUAUAUAAACAUACCUACAGUCUGGAUAACUUUCCAUUAUGAAAUGUUGCAUGGUAUAUCUUCUGCUUACAUUGCCAACGAAAUAAGUGGAGCAUCCAAAAGCUGCAAGAGAAUGAUGAUAUUAAUGAUGAAUAACAUAUCCUCCUGCAAUAUGAAGGAGCAUAUGCCCAAUACUAUAAAAAUUGCUCAAACACAAGGAAUACAUGUUAACACUAAAAAACAAAGCAUUAAGAAGAUAAAGGCUUCAGCAUUUGGCCUGAAGUACAAUUUACAUUGUACAAACGGGGACAAGAGAGGAGAGGAACUGUAUGUGAAAAGAAAAACAUUAGCAAAUCUGAGGUAUAAUGAGCAUGAUAUCUGACUGAUGCUCAAGAUGUACUCAACAUAGAAAGCAACUCCCUAGCAAUGUGCACUAAUAUAGAUCCAAAUAAUCUACUGUGAAGAAACAAACUACCCGCAAAAGGUGACAACAGUCACUUAUGAAGACAAACAGAAGCAGAAAUGCAUGAGUAUGAAGAUAAAACCCAAAUUAUCUAGUACCUAAAAGACAUAAUGAAAAUCGACCAACUCAAACAGAAGCUCGUUUUUCCAUUGAACAAUAAACAAAGUUAACAAGCUUUCUGGUAUUUAGAGCAUAAGCAUACCUCCUCCAUAUAUAACUGCAGAAAGCAUAAAACAAUGUCUGUUGAUGAUUUUGAGUCCAAAAUCUCGUCUAAGCAACAUCUCUGAAACCAAACCGAGAUUUCUGACAAGCCAAAAUAGUUGCAAUUAUCAGUGCAGCCUUGCCCUUUGUGAUCGCUCUUACAUGAACAAUUCAGUCUACUAUCAUUUCCACUGCAAGCCAAGAAUAUCGAACAACUAAGAAACAAAUACAUAGCCUGUCUUUGUAAGUGCCGGGUAGAUUUAUCCUGAAGCUCGCCCAAACCUACACCACUCAACAAAAAUGGGGAUCCUUCUAAACAAUUCUCCAGUUUAGUGCUAUGUUGGAACAUAGGUUCAUGGAGUAGACUCUGAAAGUGGUGUCGAAGUAAUUUCAGCAAACAAACAAUAUGUGAGCAGUUCUGCUGUAUGUGAGGCUUAAGCCUUAUCAUUAACAUCUGCAUUGAGAAAGCAAUGGCUGAUGAGUACUUGGUUACAGAUUGUUUCAACUUCGUAACAAAAGAUUGUUGGAUGUAUGAAAACUACCAAUAUUUUGUGCUUUGAAUACUGAGAGAUACUUUUUGGGAUAUGCUGUUGCUCUUGUAAGUAAGUUGCUAAUCUAAGAAUGACAUCUGCAAGUUUCACAAAUACAUCUCAUCGGUCCAUGUCUUCCAUGUCACUUUGCUCAACUAAAGAGCACAAGAGCUUGAGGAGACUGCCUGACACAAUUCCAAAUUGUGCAGAAUCUUUACUCAAACUAUGUCGGUCAUCCGUGACAAGGCUUACAACUUUCCCCGCAUUGAAUUGGUAACCAGGAUCCCAAUGUAACUUCUGAAUAUGAUAAAUGGACAGGCAAAUGAAUUCAUCUUUCAGUUCAGAGUCAUUGAGUUUCAGAAGCUUCAGAAUAAUGUGUAGUACUCGAAAGAGGUCAAAAGGGACCAAAACAUAAGCAACUGAAAUCCGAAGCAAUACCUGAUCCGAUGCACACCCUUGCUCCCCAUCAUCCACCUUGUCGUGGUCCCAUCCUCGAAUUGCCUUAUUUACCUAUAAUAUAAUUAAUAACGAACGGAAAGUCUAAAAAAAUCAUGGGAAGAACGGGAGAACGGAAAAUGUAAAGCAGCAGUAAAUAAAAUUCUAAAAUCCAAGCUAGAGGAUUACCCGGGAGAGCACGAGGAGUACGCACCGCUCUUCCUCCCGCGAGAGCUGCGGCCGCCGCGUCGCCAGCGAUUCGGGUUCCUGCAGAGGAGGGCGGACAGCGAAAGCGGCGUGAGAGGCUAGCUGGGAUGCCGCAGUUACCAGAUACGAGCGCCCGGCGUUGCUUACGAAGAGUAAGCAGGGAAGUGCGGCAGGCUCGCCAGAGUGGGGGAUCGGACAGCGCCGACGGUGGUGGGGACAGCGGGGGGCGCUGGCGCGUGGCGGCGCUGACGGGUGCGAGCGGCGGAACUGGCGGGGAUGGGCCGAUCCGGCGGUGCGGGGGAGAGCACCGAGCGGCGGCUGCGCGAGGCAGGGGCAGGGCCGAGCGGGCGAGCGAGCGAUGCGGGCGGAGGCAAGCGGCGACGAGCCGGGCGGGAGUUGCGGGCGGGUGCGAGCGGCGGGGGCAGCGGCGGUUGCGCGAGGCGGGGCGGACCGAGCGGCCCAAUUCGCAACACUUGUUCGCUGUAGGAGGAGGUGGAGCACGGUCAGCCUUUGUUAAUUUGGUAACUACACACCGUCGGGCUGAAUGGAUGGUGAAAGGCAGUUAGAUUGUAAUUUGUUGACUAAUUGUGUGGUGGUAAUUGGUGUUUGUUUUUUUGGGGUAAUAGUUGUGUGUAUUUAGAGAAGUUUUCGUUUGAUCUUUUAUUAAUGGUAUAGAUGUUUAUUAAUGGUAUAGAUGAAAACAAUACUUCGAAACAACAGGAACCUGAAACAGGCUCAAAUUUAACUGACCGACUUAGCACCCAUUUGGUUUGAGGUCCACAAUUGUUGGAAGAUUCUUUUUCCCUAAAAGUUAGGUCCCACAUGUCAUUAACUUGGAAAGCGCGGUGCUAUCUUUGAUCACUUAAUCUUAGGCAAUGGCAUAGAUAUACAUGUACGGCGGAUGUAGUCAAACCCAGUAAUAUGAAUCAGGUUGUGUUUUUUUCAUCUAGAAAACCUGUUUUUCUAGGUUAUCUAUCUGCUGCUGAACAUCGAAAUUUCAUUCAGAGGUGGGCAGAACGAGACAACUGAAAUGCUCCAAGGAGCAACAUCUCACUCUAUAUGGCCUUGCAAGUUGCAAGAUAUGUAAGACAAGUACAGUGACGUUCGUUGGCAAUAAUUCGACAGAUGAUAUAUCCAUCUUUCUACUUGCUUUCCUGAAAAUAAAGUGAACUCUGCCGCGCAGAAUUCCCUAUGAAGAGAAGAAUAACAUUCUAGGGCGCAGGCAAGAUAUGUAGCCGGCAUCUAAAUUCCGGUAUAUAUCAGUAACAAAAAGGCUCGAACUUCAGAUCUCCUCUUCGGCCUUUUGAACGCCUACCAUCCUCGCAUAGUCCACCCAUCUGUUCAUACAUAAAGAACAUCGGUGAGUAAUGCUGUCGAAACAGGAUCGCCACUUGUUACAUCUGCGUUGCUCGUGCACUUACAGUAAAGAACCCAAGAAUGUGUUCCCUGUCCGGACGGCAAAGCAGAGUGCACUCAGCAGCAGCUUGUGGUUAUGUAGCACGGGCUCCAGCAUCCUCUGCUCGAUUACACCAGACAAAAUCUGGUACCUGGUGAAGUAUAUGAUUUUCAUUUCUCAUUAAAAAACAAUAAAGCCGUUAACAACAAGGAAACUGUGCAUUAUUUUUUAGAUAUUAGAUAUGAUGCUUUGGGUUUCUCAAGAAAUAUGCUAUGCUUUGCAAUGAUUGCCCCAUUCAAGGUGAAAACAAGAGAAUGGAUUCAGCUUUUAAAUAUUAUGGAGAAUAUGCUUACCUGAGGUUACUAGAAACAGCCAUGUAUAUACCAUAGGCAAUACUAGUUGACACAACUGGAAUAUCGUCAAUUUCGUCGUCAAGGUCCUUGUCAACAGCCUUCCUUGCUUUGAUCAGUGCAUUGGUGACACCAGUACCAACCUGGGAAAGAUGACAAGUUCAGGAAAGCAAGCAUUGGUGACCAUGACUGCUAGAUUGUUUGUUUUCACAACAGAAACGGUCAGAUACAGAAAGAAACCCCAUGUCUGUAAUUACAACACUAUUUCUUCUAAAUGAGGCCGUACUAGAGAAAUAAAAAAUAGAGUUAAAAUAAAUACAUCCUUAGUUACUGUAAGAAAAAAAUUGCCUUACAAAAAACACAAAACAGCAGAAAUAUCUUAUGGUUGAGUUAUUAGUGAGCCUGCGUACUCCAAAGUAAAAGCUCCAGCAUACAAUUUUCUGGAGAUUUUGUGAACAUAUAACACACAAGGUUUUUGAGUCGAUAUAACACACAAGGUUUUUGAGUCGAUACAUGUCCAUAUGCAUUUACCUCGUCAAACAAAAGUUCGAGAAGAGGUUAGAGAUUAUCUGGAUCUUCAAGCAAGUUAGCUCAAUGUUGUGUCGGACAUAUAACACACAAGGUUUUUGAGUCGAUGAGUCGACGAGUCGCUCAGGGGGGGCGACUCUAGACUAGUCUAGACUCAUGGUCGACAAGUCGACAUGCGAUGAGUCGACGGUGAGUUAAGCAGCAGCAACCAGGGGAUGAGCAGACCAACAGAAGCAGCAACCAGGAGAGGAGGGGAGGAGCAGACCAGCAGCAGCAGUAAUCUGGGGAGGAGGGGACGAGCAGCAGCAGCAACCAGGGGAGGGGACGAGCAGCAGCAGCAGCAGCCAGGGGAGGAGGGGACGAGCAGCAAACCAGGGGUGGCGGCGGCUGCCAAGGAGAGGGUUGGGUCGGGGGGACUGGUUCGAUCUAGGUUUCCAGGGGGGAUGGGCAAGCAAAUAGAGUAAAAAGAACAUAUGACAGGUGGGGCUCAAAAAAAUGAGUCGUUCGACCCAGAAACCACGACUAGUCGUGACUACUCGAGACUAGUCGCUAGACUCAUCCCAAGAGUCGAGUCGAGAGGUUGAGUCGACCCUGGAAGUGCUACUCAUCGACUAGUCGAGCGACUCAAAAACAGAGAUAACACAUUACUUUAUUGGAGUCACUAGAAUGGAAGGUUAAAACAUGAAUAGUUUAGCCUGAUGAGAAAAAGUAUGGCAGAGAUCUUUUACAAUGAUAGUACUUCAUUAGUUUCUUGUAGACUUUGUCCGUUUUUUCAAAUUAUUUUCACUAAAAUUUCAUAAUAGGGUCCUCUCCAAGUGUUUACUGCUCGAAAAAAACUGAGAUUGACAUAUUUGCUAACAAAAAAUGUAAGGGAAGUUAUUAGUGAUGAUUAUCAGUUCAUCACAAUACAUCUUUGGUGAAAUGCAGGCUUACCAGAGAAGCGCCAGUUCCAACUGCGAAAAGCUUUGCACCAUUUCUCUGCAGAGGGUCACAAUUGUUAGUUGACCAAUAUCCCCAAAUGUAAGGCCACCAUGUGAGUAUAAAAAAAAUUAGUAUUUUACCACAAUAGCUCCUAGCCUCUGCAGAAUCGAGAAUGAUCUCCCAGCCAAAGCAAUCUGUAAAAAAGUUAGCAUAAGUGUUUUGAUAAAAAGGAAAAAAGACUACAAAGGUGUAAUCAGCUAGAAAAAAGGGUGAAGUUCAGGUUACUUGGAAAGCAUUGUCUGGGCAGUUGUGUAAAAAACUAGUGAUAAGUCCAGCAUUUCUUGCAAGUGGUGGCUGCAGAGAGACAGUUGGUGCUGGAAGAUAUACAAGCAUGAAAUCUGCAACUAUUGCCAUGACCUGGGUAGUACAAGAAGCAACAGAAUUAGAUUUUGUAACAGAUAGUUGAAACUUGGAAGCACAAUAAUUACUUCAUUUAGAAUAAGCUAGUGAAUUAAUUAUUCAUUUAAAUUUAACAAGAUAGCAAGACACAUUUCCAUGAGACAAAAUUGCUAUUCUCUUGAAAGAUCUAGCAUAACUACAAAAAGGCUCCCCCAAGAUAUCAAAUGGUUUAAUAUUACAAGACGAUGUACUGAACUGAAGGCUGAAACUAGCGAAGGAAGCAGAUAAAGUAGAUAUAUUUUAGAUAUUCUGGAAACAGAUAAUUGAAUUACAUUAUAUAGGAUUCAAGCUUCGAUACUAUGAAUCCCAACUUUGUGCAAUUCCUCCUAGGAUCUCAUUGAGGAUUCUCCAGCUUAGAAGGAAAUAUACGUGGUAACGAAAUAACAGAGCGAGAGCACAAAUUAAACUCCUGACAGGGUGACAUCAGAACACUUGGCAAGAAACAUACAGUACUCCGUGGAUCCUAUUUCCCCGUGUUAGAAAUAUAACUGCACUCACUGACGAACAUUACCAUUUAACGACAAACAGAAGUUAACACCCACAGACGAAUGAUCAUGUAAAGACAGUUUCACACCCAAAGCUUGUUUGCUAGUUUGAUUUGGAAGAUUAGGAUUAUUUAUCACAUGUGUACAAAUUGGCCGUAUUCCAGUAGCAGCGAAGAAAAGGCAGGCAUACCACAUCAGCGAUGACGAUGUCAAUCUCCUUGACGAAGUUCUCCCGUCUCUUCUCAUACUCCGCAGCGGUCUACAACAACAAACAGAGCAAGCAGCACACAUCACAAAGGGAAAGCGUCAGAGUGGCAGCAUCGUGCAAUCCGAUUCCAAAACCAACCACGGCAAGAAAACCCAAAAGAAACGUGAUUUUCAGUUUUUCGAAAAUCAGACGAGGAUAAGAUAAGAAAAAUGGGGAAGCACGGACCUUUGCGAUCAUGCCGACGCCCAUCUCCAUGGCGAGCUUGGCGAGGAAGAGGUCGUCGGCGAGGAGGCGCUCCCUGAAGCCUCUGAAGCGCAGCAGCCAGCGGAGCAGCGGCGAGGCGUCCAUCUCGGCGAAGCGCCGCACGAUGUCGCCUGUGACGCGGCCGCCCUCGACUGCCGCGGCCAGGUCGGCCGGCAGGCUGGAGAGCUUCCUCCCCGCCUGCGCCAGCACGAACAGCGCCUCCCCCCGCUGCCCGCCCCACUCGCCGCCGCUGUCCCCUGCUUCGUCAUCCCCUGCGCCGCCGCCACCGUUGUUGUCGUUGUUGUUGUUGUUACCGUCGGAGUAGGAGGGUAGGGCGAGGGGGAGGGUGGGGAGGCGGGGGCGGGGAAUGGCGAGGCGGAGGCGGAGCGGGAGGGAGCGGAGGAGGGAGAUGCGGGAGGGCGCGUGGAGGUGGAGCUGGCCGAGGUGGUGGGGGGAGGAGGGCUGGCGGUGGGCGGAGGGGGAGGAGGGCAGCAUUGGGGAUUGGGAGGGGGAGGCCAUGGCUGGCUGNCGGCAGGGGAGGCGUGGGGGGGCGGCGGGUUUAUGAAUAGUGGGGCGGGGGGGCGGACGCAACGAGGCCGGAGACCGCGGGCCUGUCUGCGUGUUGGGGCCGUCGUCAAAACUGUGUCUGUCAACGAGAGAUUCUGGCUGGCUGGGGCUGGGGCUGGGUCCGUUGGACCUGGGAAUCUACGAGAUUCCUGGGAUGCGAGGCCGGGCCAUCCAUCCAAUCAGCAGGGUGCCGUCCCCCGUACCGUGGGAAGUGGACUUCCCGUCCGUCAGCCCGUACGUCGCGCCGUGCGGGCCGGUGAGAAGCGGCAUGCUUUCACUUUCGCCUCUUCUUUUUCUUUCGGUUGCCGACGCGACGCUUUUGUAGGCGAAUCGCACGGUUACGAUCUUGUGUGCUCACACCUAUGCAUCAUCUACUCCUUCAUUUUAAAAUGUAAGUCUUUUUAACGUAUCAUUAGUUCAUUAAAGGAAUACGUAUGAGUCCCGCUCAAAAAAAAAAAAGGAAUACGUAUGAGUGCAUAUAGACAUAGUUCAGAGGGUAGAUUAACUCAUUUUAUGAAAUUUUUAAAAACACAUACAUUUAGAAACAGAUGGGGUAUAAGGUACUUCCUCUAUUCUAAAAUAUAAGUCUUUUUAGAGAUUUCACUAGAAGGCUACAUACGGAGCAAAAUAAAUGAAUAUAUACUUUAAAGUAUGUCUAUAUACANNNNNNNNNNNNNNNNNNNNNNNNNNNNNNNNNNNNNNNNNNNNNNNNNNNNNNNNNNNNNNNNNNNNNNNNNNNNNNNNNNNNNNNNNNNNNNNNNNNNNNNNNNNNNNNNNNNNNNNNNNNNNNNNNNNNNNNNNNNNNNNNNNNNNNNNNNNNNNNNNNNNNNNNNNNNNNNNNNNNNNNNNNNNNNNNNNNNNNNNNNNNNNNNNNNNNNNNNNNNNNNNNNNNNNNNNNNNNNNNNNNNNNNNNNNNNNNNNUAAAGUAUGUCUAUAUACAUCCGUAUGUACUCCUUUCAAUUAAACCUUUUAAAAUACUUAUAUGUAGGAAACAGAGGGAGUAUGAUUUUUAUUUUCUUCUUUCAUUUCCGACAUCAUGAUCCAUUGAAUAGACACAGACCCAAACAACCUCAAUCCAACAAUCCAGAUUGCUCCGAUGGUGAAUGCCCAACGUGUUUAGCGUGUAAUUAACACCAUGUGAAAUGUCAACAUUAAUGUUAAUCAUGUCAUUAAUACCCCCCCUCCUUAAUAACAGUAUGCAAUCACUAUUAUAUACCAUAUAUACUUCCUCCGUCACGGUUUAGAAGGCACAGUUAAACUUGCGGGCGUUUCUAAAAUAGACAAGGUUUAAGGCGUGAAACCAAUUACUCUCGUUAAUUAGUACUAGUACUACUCAUGCAUCCGUCCUCCUAAUUUGCUGCUCACGCAUUAGUACUAGUAUUUUCUCAGUUAAUUAGGCGCAUUAGCAUCUACACCUACUACAUCUCACAACCAAUCGGUGACUACCUUGGUUCCAGAUAUUUUCCAAGCAUGCCUUCUAAACCGCAAUGGAGGGAGUACUAGUCACUAGCAAGGUAACUUUUUGGGCCCACGGUCGUAUUUAUGGAUAGAGAUCAGAAGAAAAGAACUUAAUUUGCAAUUCCGUCCUAGUAUGAAAUCAAAGGCAACAUUUGUGGAACAAGUUGCAUUUUCAUUGUGAAAUAGUAUUGUUAAUUUCUGAAAUAUAUGUGAACUGCUUGUGCAACAUUUUCACAAGUUGUGAGCAAGUGUGUCGAGUUGAUUUAGAUUCCCUUGAAAUAUCACUGGAAUAGCUAUAUAAUGUUUUUUCUAGAAAUUGGGUGAAAUGGAUGUGAACUUCAUUUUUCCUUCAGUAGUUAUGAAAUAUGUUGAAAUUCUAAAAUCAUGCCAGAAUUUCUUGUUUUCUUGUGAAAUGUACUUAUUUUUAUUGAUUUGUUAAAAAUGCACUUCUAAUGCAUUCUGGUAAACUAAACCAUAUACUACGCUGAAACAUUUAAAACACACAUUUGAAAAUAUUCCUAUCGUGUUUCCUUUUAAAAUAUAUGUGUUUAAUUGGAAUUUUCAAUCAUUUACUAAUUAUGGAUCCCGUCAACAUUUUAUUACGAAGUGUGUCAAAAAUGUUGAAUACAAUGUAAUUAACGAAAUUUUAUCGAGGUGCUUUCUAUAACAAAAAUAUAUUGAGGAUAAUCUCAAAGCAGACCGCUCUUUUUUCCAUUUUUGGAACUAGACUGCUCCCAACGUUUUAACCCAAACUAGGAAGCAUGCACGUGCAACGCACGUCUUUGCAGUGACAUGUCGGAACAACGACCGCAAAGCGGUACCGGCUGAGUGUGCAAGGUGUGUUGGAGCAGUGGACGUUGGUUGGCAGUCCCGAGAGAUUUGUAACUUCAACGACAUGGGCCUCAUGUCAUGUGGGUUAUAACUAUUGCAGGCAUGUGGAAUACGUCCCUCUUCAUCACCUCAGGAGAGUGCCUCAUGACUUCUUUUCGGAAGUGAUGUUAAGAGUGGUUUAUUCAACGGAGAGAAUCCCCUAGCUAGUGUGUGUUUGUGUGGUUGGCCUUUGUCAUGGCAUUUGGCACACUAUCUAGAGUGAGCUUGGGCCCUUUUAGUUUGGUUUUUGUCUGGCUUUCAUCAUUAAUUGGACAAUCUUCCACUUAAUGAAUGAAACGGCAAAGCUUUUGCUUUCUGUUUGAAUUUAUUUGUAGUCAUGCCCAUUUGCUCAACUAAAAUUUAGAUCUAUCUAAUGUUUUUUACCAGUAGGCAUGAUAACGUUUAUGUCUCCUUUGAAAAUCCACACAAGAUAAAACUUUUUUGCUUCCAAGCAAUCCCCAUCUAGCAUGACCAUCUUUGGGUUUCUCAUGAAUAUAAUAUUUGUUGGAUUAAGUCAAAAAGGCAUUCCGGUCUUGCAUACACCCAUUGGGUUCUUCGUUAUGCCGCUGGAAGAAAUCCUUUCUUGUUUGCCCUUCAAAACGAAGAAUGCUUGCCAAUGUUAUCAGCUUAUACUUUAAGAUGACGUCCCGCCUAGACACAGACCCCAAGAAUAAUUUUGUCCAACUGCAUCCAAUCAGGUAUGACAAGACCGCGGGGCAUGGUGAAACCCCAUAACCAAUUGCACGACGAAGAAAUCAAAAUCUCCCAUCCAAAACCCCUUUGGUAUCGUCUCAAUUGGUCAUCCUUCAUAAAACCCUAUUAAAAGUCACUGAAACAAUAUCAAAACAGUACAGCUGAGUUGCAUCAAUCAAUACCUUGUUGCCUGGAUCACUUGUUUCUAGGAAAAUUACACGAGAACUUCAUGUGCCCACGACAUUCAAGGUUCAAAGCUCACCCUAAGAGUAGUUUGAGAAUCAAUUAGGGAGAAGGAUUUCAGAGUGAUUUUGUCUGCAUCUGUAGCUAAACCUGGACACAACAUUCAAAGAAUUUAUGAUUCAUUUAUAAAUAAGUUGGACAUGUGAGGUGCAACGCAUUAGUAACGAAACAAUUUUCUGAAAGAAUCAGCAAAGUAGAACUUAUGAGGUUUCAUUAUGUACCUCCAAACAAAUUCUCUAAAAUAAUUUUCCAGCUCUUAGUGGUUCUCUCAGGACUUGGUGGACGACCUUGUAAGAAGAGCACAACUGUAGAUGAAUCAAUUAACAGAACAAUAGGAAGAUAACAAAUUAUAUCGAAUAGCAAAGAACAUGUAAGUUAACAUGAAAAUAGGACGCCUUUCUACAUCAUUACAAUGUAUCACUAUAUAUAAACCAAAUUAAGUGCUCUAAAUUCUUGACCUGUAAAAGAUAGUCAAAUAUUAUUUAUACAACAGGAACCAUGUUAUGUUUCACCUCAAUUUUGUCUACCAUUAUGUAUUCAACUCUAUCAAAAUCCAACAAAAUUUAGCAUUAAUUUUCAAUCUAGUUUUCACAUCAUCUACAUCGAAGUGAGAAAAUGUCCAAUAUCUUCUCUCCUCCAACUUCCCAUAAUUCCCUUUCUUUAAGCUGAGAACUCCGUAGCACUGUAUUUGUAUUUCUUAUAGGCCGAGAAACAAUAUAUAUAAUUAGCAUAUGGACUAUAUGUAAUCAAGUGGUCACUAACUCACAUAUAUUGUGCAGAUAUCUUCUAUACCCCUCGUGUAUGACACAUCAAGCCCAGUAGAGUUUAAAAUGUUGAGAACUGAUCCAAUUAACACAAAGAAUCAAACUAAAUCUAGAUUGAUUUCUAAAGUCAAAAGGAUAAGAGCAAGAGAGCAUACAAACGAUGUAUGUUGCUUCCGCCUACUGCAGGAUGCCUCAGCUGCACUUUGGUCAGUGGAUUCGUGGAGCCGUGCGUGUGCGUCUACGCCAGCGCUCGCGUGGUGAACAAUGUACGUGCACUGCUCUGGCAGAACCUGAGGUAUCGAUCGCUAGCCUGCAACAAAUUAGCUUCACCUUGAUGCACCGCUACUUGUAUUACCUCAUGCAGAUGCGGAUUAUACCUCCUAGUUAGCACUAAACAAAAUUAUUUACUUUGACGCAUGUGCAUCACGGAGUCACCAAGUACCUCCGGCCCGGACUGGCAGUGUGCACUACCAUCCUAAUUAACACAGACUGAUGGAUCGAUCUCACACACAUCCUUAUAGCUGAUCUGGGUUCAGCCUUUGGGCAGUUGAAGGAAGGAGCACAUGACGAGGUCGGGGCCUGAUUUUGGGGGCUUGGGCGGUCACCCAUUCCAUUAGUGAGUGGACCGAAAAUCUAUCCACUUUAGAGUCAGGUUGAAGAAUAUAUUCUUUAACAGUAUGCAGAGCUUCCUUCAUUAACCCACUCCUCACAAAACUCGGGAGGAUAGUACACACGUUGCGUAAUCUGGAGCAAGAACCUUUUUCAUCUGACGAAACGUCCAGAAUGCCUCAUCCAAUCUGUCCUCUUUAACAAGACCAUACAUCACGGUGUUGUAAGAUGAAAGGUCGGGCAUGCAACCGUUCAUUGUCAUACUGUAUAGCAUGUCCAGUGUAUAGUUCACCUCCCCAUUUUUGCAGAGACAAUCCAGAAACAUUGUUGUACGUUAUUAUAUUAGGUGGAAAGCUAUAAGAGUUCAUUCCUUCAAGCAGUUGUAUUACCUCCUUGACUUUACCUUCUCUUCCUAAUCCUGCCAAAAGUGUGUUGUAAGUACAGUCAAUGGGUUCAAGGUUCAUUUCUUUUAGUUCAUAGAAGAUUCUAGGCUUCAUUUCCCAUGCCUUGUACAUCAUAUCAAUCAAAGAGCAUGGAAGACGUUUGUUUUCAAUCAUUUCAGCGAAGAUCUUCAUGGCCUCAUCAACAUUCGAUGCCUUGCUGCAACACCUGAUCAUCAUCGUGUAGGUGAUAUUAUCUGAAGAAAUUCCCAUAGCUUUCAAUUCAUGGAAGACCCUUUUUGCCAUUCCCAGCCUCCCAGAUUUAGCAAGACCAUACAAAACAGCAUUACCAGCAACAACAUCUGGAACAAUCCCUUUGCUCUUCAUAAGCUCGUACCUUUUAAGUGCUUUCAGAGAUUUGCCAGAUUUUCCAUGGUAGUUUAUAAACAGAACAUGUGUGUAGCCAUUUGGAGUAGGACCAUGAAUAUUCAUAUGGUUGACCAGCUCUAGAGAACCGUUAAACCUAUCAGCUUUAAGAAAUUCAGAUAUCAAGGAG
rnacentral:lncRNA from 1 species